UGAAAAAGACCAAUAUAUCAUAUAUUUGACAAAAUUUUAUUCUCUCCCCUUCAUUAACUUUUCGCUAAAUUAUAUACAAAAAAUUUCAGAUACCUCACAUAUAGCUUAUCGAAUAUUAACUUUAGUACCCUUUAGUUUUAACUUUGUCAUUAGUUUAACGAAAAAAAUUAGCGGAAGGAAUAAUAAAAAAAUAAAAAUAAAAUCAUAAGGCACGAAAGUGAUACACUUUAAGUCAGAGAGUACUAAAGAGAAAAAGUGUGAAACUACAGGGUGGUAUUUGAAGUUUUUCCUAAAUUUUAUAGUUAUACUCCAUCAAAACAAAUUAGCAUGCAAUUGGGAUUUUUUUUUUUCCCUUGUUACAUAGAGGGUAAUUUCACCAGCCUAAUAUAUAAAAUAAUAAAAAUUCAUAAAUGCAUUUUUCAACCACAUGUAAUAAAAUAAAAUAUUUAUAAUUACAGCAGUUAUUACUACAUUUUCAACUAAAUAAGACGCAUGUAAUUAUACUUAUUGUAUUUUCAAUUAUCUAGAAACCAAAUCGACGAUCGGCACCGUUGUCACCUAUUUGUUUUGAAUAAUGAAGUCUCUAAAUCGACGAUCGGCAGCGUUAAAUACGAUCUAUAAGUAUCUAGAAACCAAAUUUUAUGUUUUUCCGAUAUUGUUUUCUUGUCCAUCAAGUGGACACAAAAAUAUACGGUUAAAAAUGAAUAUCCUUUAAAAAGUGAUAAUAGGAAUCUUGUAAUCAAUAUCAAAAGUAUAGAUCUCGCUUUAAAUAGUUUAAAAAAUUUUCUAACCAAAAUUCAAUUGAUUUGGAUAUCUUUAUACCGUUAAACAAGAAGCGCUUCAUCGUGACCAUUAAAAUUAUAAAUUUUUAUUUUUAUUAUUAAGUCAAUGAUAUUGAAAAAUUUUAAAAUUUGAUUUACAGAUACUUCUAUAGAUCAUAUUCAACAGUGUCGAUCGUCAAUUUGGGGACUCUAUCAUCGACAAUAAAUAGUUGGUAAUGGAGCCCGUUUGCUACUUAUUUGUAUUCCGGCUCAACUCUUUAUAUUAGUAGGUAACAAAACUUUUGAGAAAUAAAUAUAAUAAUUACUUAAACUUUUUAUAAAUAAAUAAAUUUGGAGUUGGUGGAACAUAUAUAAGAGUACAAUAUUAAUCCUAAGUUGUCAAUUGAUGGCGUGGCAAUGUUCAAUACAUAACGUGGCAAAUAAUUUCAUUGUCAAAUGAUUUUCUUAUAUUGCAAGUGGUGACAUGUUUGAAAAAGAGUUGUGACAACAAAGUUAAUUAAAUAAUAGGGUUAAUUUCAUAUAGGUUUAAGUAAACAUAGUAAAUUAUAAAUAUAUUUCUAUAAAGUUUAAUUUUUAUAUAUUGUUUUUAUAGAAAUCCUGAUAUUUUCAAAUAUAUCCCUACCGUUAAAAUCUGUUCGAAAAAAAUAGUUAACUAUAGGUAAAAUAAUUAACCCUAGUUAGUUAAUGAGGUGAAUUGACCGUUUUAUUCUUUUUUAAUUAACAGUGAGGAUAUAUUUGUGAUGACAAAAAAGUCAUUUUCCUUAUAAAAUAAAUAGUGCUUUAACAGUAACAAAUCAGAACGACAUAUUUGAAAAUAUUAGCAUUUUUAUAGAAAUAACAUAUAAAAGUUGAACUUUGUAAGAAUAUAUUUGUAAUUCACUAUGUUUGCAGAGACCUGCAUGAAAUUAAUUAUUCUUUGGCUAAAAUACAAAAAAUUUCUUUGCAAAUACUCGUUUUUUUUCAAAAUUUCAACUUGCUGCAUUUAGAUCCUCCGCAUCAGAAUCGUGUCACUGUUCCAUCUAUUUUUCUUAAUAUAGUUUACGGUAAAAUUAACCUAAAAUGUGACAUUAAUGUAUUAAAAAUUAAUUUUUUAGAACAAAUAAGAGUACUUUGGUCAUGUUGCCUCUUUUUUUUUAUCAAUGCCAUAACUUUCUAAAAAUAUUUUUAAAUUGUAAUAAUAAAAUAUAGAUUUUUUAAAGUAAAAGAGAAUAAAUAAAAUAAUAAAUAUUUAUAGAAAUUUUUUUUAUAAUUUAGCCUUAUUUUUUUAUGAUAUAGCGUCUCUUUUACUUCAUCAUUUUGUAGCUUGCGAUAUGUCUUUUGGAUAAUAAGGUGUUAUAAUUUACCAAUUAUGGAAUAAUAAUAUGCUAUAAUUUCUUAUUUAAAGAGAAUUUUCGUCAUAUAAAAAAGUGAAGGCGUGGACGAUAAAUCGCCUAAAAUUAUUGCAUACAAAGUUUUUAUUCAGCAGGUAAAAAAAAAAAAACUUAAAAGUAACUUUUUUCUUUUGUUUUUUUAAUUAUUUUGCAAAAACUAUCUAAGCUAAAUUUUCAUAACACUAAAGCUCCAUUUAGAAUUAUUGAUAGAAAAAUAUAUUGAUUUUUUCUUACGUAAUAUAUCUUAAUGAGUCAGUUACGAUAUAUUUUUUCAUUCUCGAUCAUAAACAGCCCUAUGUAUCCAAUUUUAUCAAAUCUAUAAUUAAGAAGUAUAAAAAUUAAAUAACAAGUAUAUCAAAUAAGACAUAAGUUUUUUAUUUUAUUUUAUAUUUUUUGUGAUCCCCCACUUUCAUAGCACCCAACGGUGCACUAAUAAAAAGGGGGUAUAAUUGCACCACUGACCCUAAUCUUUAACUUUUUUUUUUUUUUUUAAUUUGGAUUCUAACUUGUGGGUUUUUUUUGGCUAUUACGUAUCAUCUACGUGUCCACACAAUUGGCCAUCAAUCCACUUCAAACUACCUACUCCCAAAAAAAAAAAAAAAAAAAAAAAUCUCCUAUUGAUCUUAAUCCAUAAUUUUUAUUAGAAACAAGGGUUAAUUUUAUAAAGAUCCCUAUAAAUAUAAUAAAUUACAAGUAUAUAAAUAUAGUGACGUUAUUUUUAAUGUUGGUGCAGGUCAAAAAAAUAUACUGAUGGUUAAAUUAUCAACACUUUUUAAAAGUAUUGUUAUAUAUGAGGUUGAUAUAUAUGGGACCGUUUUGAUGUUUAAUACCUACUUCUCCAGCAACCUAUGGCGGACGGACACGUAGUGAUUGUAGCCCUCUACAAUCCCUGCGAGAUCCUCGCGAUCGAACUCUAGUCGCCUGAACUCUAUUUCGUUGGCGGCGGCGGCGGCAGAGGAGGAGAAGGAGAGAUGGUGAUCGAUUUUUUUUUUUUUUAAUUUGUAAUCGAGCCAAGUGGGCUGGAUGUGAUUAGUUGAAUAGACGAACCUUUUAUUUUUUAUUGGAUUAAGCUUUAUAUUUAGGGCUUCGUAAUUUUUUUUAAAAUUUUUUGUAUAAAUUAAACACUUACAUAAAAAUGUUCCAAAAAUAAGUUUCUACAAUCUAAUUCUAUUGUAGUGAAUAAAAAUAUUUUUUGCUGAAAAUAAAAUAUAAAUUUAAUCACCCAAAUUAAAAAAAUAAUAUAUUUUUUAUAAAAAAUAUAAAACCGCCGAUUUUUUUUUUUUUUUAUACAAAUUAGCUUUCUUAUUUUUCACCUUACACAACAACAAGAACCCCCUUUUCUGUUCCUGCACCUCUCAUCCACCAUGCCAGUUUUCGUCCCCGUCCUCGUCCUCGCCCUCGACCUCAUCGCUUUCGUGCUCGCGAUCGUGGCCGAGCACCGGCGCAGCGCCGCGACGGUGGUGACCAACGCGAAACGGCGCUACACGUACUGCGCCUACGGCUCCGACGUCGCGACGGCGUACGGCGUCGCCGCGCUGCUGCUUCUCGCCGCGAGCCAGGCGGCCGUCAUGACCGCCACGCGGUGCUUCUGCUGCGGCAGCCCGCUCCGGCCCGGCAAAGCCCGCGCCUUCGCCGGAAUCUGCUUCCUUGCAUGCUGGUAAAUUAAAAAUUACUUACACACCUCUAGAGAUAUAUUUACGCGUGUAUAUACCUACAUAUAUUUGAUUUAAAUGAAGCGCGCACUAACAAAUUACUUAUUUAUUUUUUACAGUAUUAUUUAUAAAAUAAAUGUAACAAAUAUAAUUUUGCUGAAUUUGGUGUACUAAAUAAUCUAUUUUUUUGACAAAGUACUUUUUUUUUUUUCUCAUUCGUAGCCAAUAUGCUGAAUUUUACUAUUUAAGAUACUAUUUUUUUUUAACAACUAUUACAAAUUAAUAAGCUUUUCAUAUUUAAUAAGAGUUAUUAAUUUGGCCUAGUGUGAGACUUUGGUUCUUCGGUUUUUCGUACUAAUCUGAAGAAAAAUAAUUUUCCGUGCCUUUGAUUUAUAGAAAAGUUAUAUUUUCGAAAAAAAAUACUUUUUUCAGAGAAACUAUUAUUUUCAUUUUUCAAAUUUUUUUCUCUAAAAAUAAAAAUUGUGAAAAUAAUAUUUUUCAUAAAAAGGAUAUUUUUUUGUAAAAUAGUUUUUCAUACUCUCCAGAAAAUCUAAACACCUCUUUGUUAAGUAUAGAUUUUUUUUUUUUUUUUUUUGUUAUUAAGGUUACGUUACGUUUUUUUUCCUCUUUUCGGGCUUAAGAUAGUUUACUACUUGCUUCAUUUACGAUAAUUUAUAUUCCUGAAGAAUAAGGCCAGAGAGAGAGAGAGAGAGAGCGUGAAAAAAUAAAAAUCUUUUUUAAGCUUUUUUAGUUUUUAGAUAUUUUGAAAUAUUCUGUUAUUUCUCGCUAGCGAUGCAAAGUAAGCCGCCAAUCACAUCAACCGCAGAAUCCCUCAAUAGUGGUUGUGGUUGGGUGUUGAAGAAUUGAUCCUACAUACAUUUUUCUUUGAGAUAAUUACCUAUAUGCCCCUCAAAAUAUCGAGAAUAUCUCAUUUACUCCUAUUUUAUUUUCUUUCCAAUAUACCUUUUAUAUGUUUCUCUGUUAUUUCAAAAUACUUUUGCAGUUACCAUCUGUUAAAUUAACUUAAGUUAAAUGUGAGUUAAAUAUUUACCAGAAUUAAAAAAAAUUAAAAUACCUCGUUUGCCCUUAAUUUAAGGGCAAAUAAGAAAUGUUAGUGAUGGUAGAAUGAUAUAUUUGAGUAAAAUCAAAAAUCAAAAUACUUUUUGUGUCCCUAACUUAAGAGCAAAUAAAAAAAGUCCAUGAUGAUAGAAAAGCAUAUUUGAAGGGUAAAAUAGUAAUUUUAUAGAGGUAACAGUUGUUGCUAAUAGUUCAUUAAUAGAAUUUAAUUCUAUGAAUAUAUUUAAAAUAGGUUGGAAUGUAAAAAAGGUAUUUCAAUAUUAACCUUUUAAGAGGGGUAAAUAAAAAGAUCAGAAACUUUUCAGAAUUAUAUAAGCAAUUAUCUUUUUUUUUUUAGAUUAAAAAAAUACAAAACUUAUAUGAACUACUAAUUAUUUUGGUUCAACAAAUUAAUAUGAAAGAAGUAUAAAAUAUUUUGUUAUUUUUUAAUGUGUUUUUUUUUUAAAUUUGGAAUCUAAUUUACAAUAUUAAAAUUCGGAACCACAUAAUAUUUCAAAUAGGAAAUCACAUGAACGGUAUAUAUAUAUAUAUAUAUAGUCAAUUCGAAAAUUUUAUUAUCGAAAACAACUUAUGAAUACAAAGACCUUCGUAAAUAUGUAUGAGUGUCGGUGAAACGCAUUUGAAUUACUCUCGUUCAGGUUCACGUUCCUGGUAGCGGAGUUGUGCUUGCUCGCUGCAUCGGUUCGCAACGCAUACCACACGCGGUACCUCACCGUCUUCGGGAACGGCCCCCCGUCGUGCGAGACGGUGCGGAAGGGCGUGUUUGCGGCCGGUGCCGCCUUCGUGUUCUUCACCGCGGCCCUUGCCGAGCUCCACUACGCCUUCUACGCCAAGGCCCGGGCCGCCACCCUAUUCCCGCCGGCGGCGGCGGCGGCGGCACCGCCUCAUCGAAAGGAGUCUUCCAUUGGAAUGACCUCCUUGUCAUAGGUGUUCGACGAAAUGCCUAACUAAUGUUGUCAAAGUUUGCUGUGUUCUCUGUAUUACAAGUCUAGAUAGAAAACUUCUGAAAGAAUGUAGAAUUUCGUAUUCUUAAGUUAUUUUCGAUGAUGGAACAUGUGAAUCGAGGAUCAGAUUAGUUAGAUACGAUCAAACUUUUAUAAUUUUUCUGUAGUGAUCAAAAUAUCUCAAAAUUGUAAAUUUUAAUGGUCAAUAUGAUACACUUGAAAGCCUCACACUGUAGAACAAUCCAAAUCAUAUUAAAACUGUUCAUUUUUUUAAUAAAAUUUUUAUUCGCAAUCGUACAUUUUGAGAUUAUUUACUCAUUUGGCAAAAAAUAUCGAAAAAUUAUAAAAUUUGAUUUUAAAUACUUUUCAUAGUGUACAUGUCUAACAUGGCUGAUAGCCAAUUCAGAUGUUCCACCAUCGAAAAUAACUUAAAAGUAUAGAGAUUUUUGUGCUUCUAAAAAUAUAUUAGCUGAAUCUCUUACAUUAUUUAGCUUACUAGAAAAAAAAUAGAAGUAAAAAUAUGUAUAUUGUUGCAUUGUUGUAGUGUUACUAAAUUUGGUGACAAUAUAUCUAAAACAAGCAAAAUGUUGGAUAUUGAGAUUGUGAGACUAUGUUUUGGUUUUGUUUUGUUGGAAUGAUUCUUACUAUAAUUGACUUAUUUGUUAAUUUAUCCAAAAUCAUUAAUUAGUAUUAAUUAUAAUUUGAUUAUAAAUUAAAGAAAAGCAUAAACAAAUCAAGCAAUUUAUGUCACAUAUAUUUGUUUAGUAGUAGGUAAAAGCUAACAGCAUGCAAAUGCAUGUUAAAAUCAUAAUUAAUUUAGGCUUCUAAUGUUUCCAUUAAUUUGUUUCCGUAAAUAAUAAUAUAUUGAUUUAGUCGCGUUGUAUUAGUUUUGAAAAAAUUUCUAUGGGUAAAUUGGAAAAUAAAAAAUAUAUAUUAUUAGAUUAAAAAACUAAAAAAGUAAAAACAUGUAUAAUUUUUCGAACCAUGUGCUACUUUAAAUUUACUAUCUGAUUUUUUAAAUUUAUUUGAAUUGAGUGAUUUAAGUGUACUUAGACUUUAAAAUUUAAGUUAAUUUUUUUUACUUUAAUAAAUUUAUAGUUGUAAAGAUUAUAUAAAAUAUACUAACUAAAUCUAUAAAGUUAAACGACGCAUUCAAAUUUUAAAAUUAAAAUAGUAUUGAUUGAUUCUAAUUAAAUAAAUUAAAAAUCUAGAUAGUAAAAUUAAAAAUUUUGAAAUAUUAUAGUCAAUUCAAAAUGUUUAUAUUAGUUUUUAGGAAUAAUUGUCUAUAUAUCCUUUAAAACUUCAGAAAUAUUUCAUUUACCCAAACUUUUUUUUCUUUCUAAUAUAUUCCUCAUAUGUUCCUCCGUUAUUCCAAAAUACUACUGCAGUUACCACCUGUUAAGUUAACUUGGAUUAAAUGUGAGUUAAAUAUCUACCACAGUUAAAAAUAAUGAAAUGUCACUUUUACUCUUAACAAAUAAAAAAUAUUGGUGAUGGUAGAAGGGUAUAUAUUUGAAAAGACUAAAAAAUAAAAUACUUUUAUGUCCCUAACUUAAGGGUAAAUAAGAAAAGUCGGUGAUAAUAAAAGGGUAUAUUUGAAAGGGCAAAAUAGUAAUCUUAUAGAAAUAAUAGAGUUCAUUAAUAGAUUUUAAUUUUAAGAGUAUAUUUGAAAUAAGUUGGAACGUAAAAAAAAUAUUUUUAAUAUUAAUGAGUAAAUCAGAAAAUUGAAAAUUUUUCGGAGAUAUAUAAGCAAUUGUCCUUAAUUUUUAAUUAACAGGAUUAUCUGGGUCAAUGCCACGUCAUAGCUCGCAUGACCUGAAAAGUACACGUGGCAGCAUCCUGAGCCGUGGUGCCACGUUCGUUCACGUGGACAUGUCAUCACGCUGACGUGGCAUCAAGAGAGGCGAAUACAACAACAACGGCGGAUCAUCCGUCGCCCUCCUCCACCCGACCCAUGCCGCAUGAUUAGCGCCAGAUCAGCAGUACAUUCGAACAGCAAACACGGUUAUAACAUGGGACCCACUCCUAUUGUCCAAUGAUAAUGCGCCACGUACGACAGUAGAACGAAAAGCUCUUACGUACCAAACAGGGAAUCCUCUCCCUUCAUCACACUCUCUCUAUCCUUUUGCUGCGGCAAGUGCAGUGGACAGAUCAACAAUUGCAAAGAGACUCCUCAACUACAUAAUAAUUAGGAAAAGAUUCCUAUAAUUUAUUUUGAGUGUAUUUUAAUUAGUCUCUCAUAUUUUCUCGACACCUAAUAUUUUAAAAAAAAAUUACUUUGCUACCUUAUUAUCCUUCUCUUUGUUUUAUCCUAAAAUCCUACUGUAUACAUUUUACGAAGUAUAAAAUGACUAAGUAAAUAUUAUAAGCUAGUACAAUAUUAUACUAUUUUUUCACAUAUCAGGAUUAAUAUAAAAAUUUAUAACUAUAAGUAAAAAAUACGCAACGGACUAAUUGAAGUUUCUCUUUAUUUUUACUAGUACAUUCAUCUUUCAAUAGUUUCUUAUUUAAUUUUUUUUAGUUAAUUAAGUUAAAAAUUUAUUAUAUACAAUAAUUAUAUGAGCAAAUAAUACUAUACAGUUGAGGGUGCCAAAGGGCCAUUUCAAAAAAUCUAUAUAGUCGAGGGUAUAUUUAUAUAUUUUACAAAAAGUACAAUACUAUCCCAAAAAUAAAUUAGAUAUUUUUUUAAGAAAAUAUCCUCACUAAGAAAUCUGAAACUCGAGCUAGUAUUGGUGGAUCGGUGUCCACGUGGCAACUCGUGGGACCCACCAUGCAUGUCACCUUAUCCUACGUUCACGCCAUUUAGUUAUUCACGAACCCGUAUAAAUACCACCUUAUUCUCCUUUUCCCAUCUCGUAUUCUAUAUACAAUAAUAAUACCUUAGCUUUAACUUAUUCCCAUUUCCUCUACUUUUUUAGCCAUUAAUGGCGCUUCAAGCAUCAUCUCUCCCAACAACAACACUCUCUUUACACAAAGAGGUAAGGGCGCGCACGUUUGUUUUGCGAAUCUCGGAGGUUGAACUCGUGAUUUCGAGAGAAUCGUCGGUGUCGGCGUUUGUUUCGGCACCAAAGUUGCGAUAUCACCCGAACUCCCACUUACAAUUAUAUGAAGAUCUCGGUCUUUCGACUUCAGUGUGAAAUAAGAGACGAAGUCGAGUUCUCGAAACUCACGAACCCACACAAUGUGGAAUAGUUAUUCCACACAAUGUGGGGUUAAUUAGUAAAUUAGAGCUGUAGUUAAUUUAAUUUAACUUUUUUAAAAUUUGGGCAGGGAAAAUUGAGUGCAAGGGCUAAGGACUCAGCAUUCUGGGGGGUUUCUAUUCCGGACCAGAAUAAGUCCCCAUUUUAUUUUGCGAAAGCAAAGGUAAUUUUAAAUAUUUAAAUAUCGUUCUCUGACAGUUUAAGUUACGAGAAUAAUCGAUUUUCUUUUUUAUGAAAUGUUUUGAGUUAUUAAUGCAUUCCACUAAUGCAUACUAUGCAGAAAUUGAGCACAGCAUUUGCAGUAAAAUCUCAGACAGCAGCGACAACAACAACUACAACCACCGGCGCUGCACCGGGGGAGAGCAAAUCCGCCGCGGAGGGCAAAAAGGUGCUCCGCAAGGGCGUCGUCAUCGUCACGGGAGCCUCCUCGGGCUUGGGCCUGGCGACAGCCAAGGCCCUGGCGGAGACCGGGCGGUGGCACGUGGUGAUGGCGUGCCGCGACUUUCUGAAGGCCGAGACGGCGGCCCGGGCGGCCGGGAUGGCCCGGGGGAGCUACACCGUUGUGCACCUCGACCUCGCGUCGCUCGACAGCAUCCGCCAGUUCGUUGACAGCUUCCGCCGGAUGGGGAUGCCGCUCGACGUGUUGGUCUGCAAUGCCGCGAUAUACCGGCCGACUGCACGCCAGCCGACGUUCACCGCCGAUGGCUAUGAGAUGAGUGUUGGUGUCAACCACCUGGGACACUUUCUGCUUGCAAGGUUGCUGCUGGAGGAUCUGAACAAGUCUGAUUAUCCCUCCAGAAGACUCAUCAUUCUUGGAUCAAUCACAGGUAAUUAUUUUUUUUUUCUGAUUGUUCUUGUUCGUCACAAAGUUUCAAAUUAGUGCUUCUACUGUAGGAAAUACAAACACAUUGGCCGGAAACGUGCCGCCGAAGGCAGGGCUGGGCGACCUGCGUGGCCUGGCGGCGGGGCUCAGUGGCCAGGGGGCCUCCGUUGGCUCCGCGAUGAUCGACGGCGGCCAGUUCGACGGUGCGAAGGCAUAUAAGGACAGCAAGGUGUGCAACAUGCUGACGAUGCAGGAGUUCCACCGCCGGUACCACGAGGAGACCGGUAUCACCUUCGCGUCGCUCUACCCCGGCUGCAUUGCCACCACCGGGCUCUUCCGUGAGCACAUCCCGUUGUUUCGGCUCCUGUUCCCGCCGUUCCAGAAGUUCGUCACGAAAGGGUUCGUCUCCGAAGAAGAAUCCGGAAAGAGGCUCGCACAGGUAUAUAAUCAUUCUACGAAUACUAAAUGCUAUUAGAUAAAGUAUUAUAUAUCUUAAGUAUGCUUUUAAAAGAAGUACUAUAAAAAAAUUCUUUUAGCAAAUCUUCUCUGCAGAAGAAGCAGAAGCACCAAAUCGAAACUUUUGCUAUCGAUCCUCAUUACUUUAUUUCUUAUUCCCGCUGCAGUAGAGGCACUAACUAAGCUUCUCUAUUCGCCGAGUACACAUUGUUCAAAAUCGUCCAAACAGCUUCUUGCUUCAGCAAAAAUAGAAAUUUCGAAUUAAAAAUUCUACUUUUAGGAAUCAGAAGUUUAUUUCUACUUCUCUUUAUAAAUCACAAUAUAUAUCAACUAUUGCCACUAGCAGCUGAACGACUUUUUUUUUUUUUUUUCACUGUAGGUGGUGAGCGACCCGAGCCUGACGAAGUCGGGCGUGUACUGGAGCUGGAACAAGGACUCGGCGUCAUUCGAGAACCAACUCUCCAAAGAAGCGAGCGACCCCGAGAAGGCGCGGAAAGUGUGGGAGCUAAGUGAGAAGCUGGUGGGUUUGGCUUGACCAAAACUGGGGGAGAAACAACCCUUGCUAUUGACUUAGAUCUUGAUUCAGGGAACCCCUGCAUUGUGUUAUCUUUAAUUAGGGCUUCAUUUUGUCCACCAUUGCAUUUGCUGAUGAUCAGUAGAGGCUGUUUUGUACAAGUUUGAAUCAGGAGUAAUAAGAUUGCAGGCUUUCCUUUUUAUUCAUAAUUUAAUCUGAACAAAUCGAUGUGUAACGCGGUAAAAUUAAUUCUGUAUCACUUUUUACUAAAUCAAUCUUUUGAAUAAUAAAGUAUUAGAGCUAGUUCUAUAUAUUUCAGAUUCGAUAUUCACCAUGCAUGUGAACGGAUACGUUAAAACUUAUCUAAAGUACGAAAAGAGUAAUUCAGUUCAAACAACACCGAUGCAAAAACUUUGGCUAGGCAAAUGAUAACCUAUUGGAUGUAACUUUGUGCUAUGAAAAUUUUUUUGCGAUAAAGUUUUUUUUUUUUUAUUUUUCUCUUACUUGGAACCUCAUGCUAUUUAAUCUACUUAUUUUCCCAUAUCUAAAAUGGGUCAUAAUCUAUAGAACAUCAUUUUCCACUCAGAAUGAACACCCACUCUCAUAGUUCAAAACCAAAUUUUAAAAUAUUUAAGCAGAGAAAAUAUUGGAAUUUGAUGCUCGAGAUUAUAUUGAAACUAAAAAUAUAUUAUACUUUUUUUUUUUGAAUAUAUUUUCUUCUUUGCCUAAAUUAAUAUGAUUUUUGUUAUUUACUAUUUGUAUAAUGUUGUUUGUUGCAAUUAAUUAGUUUAAAUUUGGUAUAUAUUCAAUUGUAUUUAUAAUGCUUUCAAACAAAAUAAUGUUUAAGUUAAUUAAAAAGGUAUAGAUAAUAGAUAAUGUAUAGAAAAUAAUAUUUAAGUUAAUUAAAAAGAUAUAAAUAAUAGAUAAUAGACAAAAUAAAAUUUAUUUAGUUUUUUUAAUCAUCUUCUAAAGUCGGUGGCGAAACUGUUUCCUUAUAAUGAGUUGCUCGAAAGUCGGCAACGACUAAGAGGAUGCUGCAGACUUUAAGCUGGAGUCGGUUGCGAAAUUACCAAAAAAAAAACCCGAAAGUAUUUGGAAAAGGAAAAAAAAAAAGGGCACGUGGAGGCCUAUCAACCGCUUGAUUAAAAAAUCACACGGCUCAGGACACUCUAGCGACAUGUCGCGUUCCCAUUGGUCGGUCCACGAAAUCCGCAGUUUCCUAUUGGUCCACGUCGUCACCAUGACAUGUUCCCCUCCCCUAAUGCACGAAACCGAUCCCACCCUCUCUACGUAUAUAAACCCCAUUCGAAACCCCAAAACGCGAGAGAGAGAGAGAGAGAGAGAGAGAGAGAGAGAGAGAGAGACGACGCCAUGGAUCGAUCGAUGGGAGCUCGGGGGUCGGUGAUCUUGUUAGGGCUCGUGAUCGCAGGUAACGUGUCGAUCUCGCGAUCAUCGAUCUGCAUGAUUCGCUUUCGUUUUUUGAAUCGCUUGUACUGGAUCUGAUCUGGUUGUAGGAUGCAUUUGUGAACCCUAGAUCGGCAAUGGCACCGCACUGAUUUAUAGAUGUGAUGCUUAUUCCUCUUAGUUUUGAAUCGGUGGAGAUUGCAUUCGAAUCAAUAGCUUCUUUUGAAUCUAUGAUGCCAAACUUUAAAUUUGGACCACAACAAUGUUGGAUUUUAGGUGAUUUAUCGUAGGAUUGCUUCUGAUGAGCUAUAAAAUGUUGUGUUACAUGAUUUGAUACAUGCUAGUUUCGGUUUUUAAGGUAAUUUUGAUAGUAGAGUUCAGAUGCAUUUUUAGGUCUAUGGAAACUCCCAGAUACUUUAAUUUUUGGUUUCUACUAUUAGUUGUGAAAGUAUGAAACUUUUGUUCAUAUAUGUUGUUAAUACGCAAGUGAAAAUGUAAUUCUAAAGUUAAUUGUUGAAAUAGCUAUAGAAAUUUGUCCUCUUUGGUUUGAUGCUACCCAAUUGAUAGAUUUAUUUUUUUAUUUAAUCAGUCAUACGUUCUAAUGGUGUAUGGCGUAUUAUUAUUGGACAUUUACUAUAUCCAUUUUUACCUACUAUAUAUAACUUACCGAGCAGGGUGUUUCAUCUAAAAAAAAAAAAUUGGCAUUCAGAUUCAGUGCUACAGAUAACUUACCAAGUGAGGUUUCUCAUCCAAAAAUAUAGAAAUAUAUAUAUAGUUGUGUUCGUAUAAUCAUAUAUAGUGGCAUUCAGAACAACUAAGUUCCAUAUCAGGAAGCAGGACGUAAUCACGUAGAAGUUUUUGUAUGUCAUCUUUGCUAUAUUGGGCUGUGAAAGAAGUGCGCUGACUCGAUACUUCACCUCCAGGAUCUCUGUUUGCAUUUUCAAUUGCGAAAGAAGAAGCUACGAAGCUCGGAACCGUAAUCGGUAUAGAUCUCGGCACCACCUAUUCGUGUGUUGGUGUCUACAAGAAUGGUCAUGUGGAGAUCAUAGCAAACGACCAAGGAAACCGUAUCACCCCAUCAUGGGUCGCAUUCACAGAUAACGAGAGAUUGAUUGGUGAGGCUGCAAAGAACCAAGCAGCUGUAAAUGCUGAAAGGACUGUUUUUGAUGUCAAGCGUCUUAUUGGAAGAAAGUAAGCUUGGUUUUUAAUCAACACAGUUCUCCUUAAUGUUCUUUAACUAUAUGAAAAAAAUGGUAUUAAUAUAUUUAUCUUUAGGUUUGCGGACAAGGAGGUGCAGAAGGACAGGACGCUUGUGCCAUACAAGAUUAUUAACAAGGAUGGGAAACCCUAUAUUGAAGUGAAGAUCAAGGAUGGAGAGGUUAAGGUGUUCAGUCCCGAGGAGAUUAGUGCGAUGAUUCUAACCAAAAUGAAGGAGACCGCCGAGGCAUUUCUUGGGAAGAAAAUCAAGGAUGCUGUUGUUACUGUUCCCGGUAGGAAAAUAACUAUAGAAAUAUUCGUAUUUCCCUUAUAAUGGCGAGAAUUAUCACGCUAACUUAGUUCAUUUUGCCAUUGAUGUUUCAGCAUACUUCAAUGAUGCUCAGAGGCAGGCAACAAAGGAUGCUGGUACCAUAGCCGGCCUGAAUGUUGCUAGGAUAAUUAACGAACCUACCGCUGCAGCUAUUGCUUACGGUCUAGACAAGAAGGGCGGUGAGAAGAACAUCCUUGUCUUUGAUCUCGGUGGUGGGACUUUCGAUGUCAGCAUCUUAACUAUUGAUAAUGGAGUUUUUGAGGUCCUUGCAACAAACGGCGAUACUCAUCUUGGAGGUAAUUUUAUUGCCACAAGCACAGUCGAUCCUAUAUAUACAUAUUGAAAGAAUUUAAAGCAGUUCUUAAAUUUUUCUAAGACUAACUUUGGAGAGUGCUGAAGAUAAUAACAAUUCCUAUUUUAGCGGACCUCUAAUUGUGCAAAUAUGCAUUUCAGAAUAUGCAAAUUGUAGUUAAAAUAUAAUUCUUUAGUCGAGCAUUAUGAAAUAGUCACAUCUUUGAAGUUGAAAUUAUCUGUGGCCCUGGCCCAUUAUGGUUGAAAUACUCUUUGAACUUCGAGAAUUACCUUGUCAAUUAUGCGCCUUAUUUUAUUUUAUUUUUUUUGUCAGGUGAGGACUUUGAUCAUAGAAUCAUGGAAUACUUUAUCAAGCUGAUCAAGAAGAAGCACGGAAAGGACAUCAGCAAGGACAACCGAGCACUUGGGAAGUUGAGGAGGGAGUGCGAGCGUGCCAAGAGGGCUCUGAGUAACCAGCACCAAGUUCGUGUGGAGAUCGAAUCUCUGUAUGAAGGGCUUGACUUCUCCGAGCCGCUUACAAGGGCCCGGUUUGAGGAGUUGAACAAUGACCUGUUCAGGAAGACUAUGGGGCCCGUAAAGAAGGCCAUGGAGGAUGCUGGGUUGGAGAAGCACCAGAUCGAUGAGAUUGUGCUCGUCGGUGGAAGCACAAGAAUCCCCAAGGUUCAGCAACUGCUGAAGGAUUACUUUGAUGGGAAAGAGCCGAACAAGGGAGUGAACCCUGACGAAGCGGUUGCUUAUGGUGCGGCUGUUCAAGGAAGCAUUUUGAGUGGAGAGGGUGGUGAAGAAACUAAAGGUACUCUUCAAUGAACUUAUUAGCGAGUUGGCUGAUUAGAAUUAGAUCAGAGAGCUACAUCGGAUAAGAGUUAUUUACUUGUAUGCUCCUAAAUAAUUUAUUUACACGCCUAUCUUAUUUUCAAUACGCACCCUUCAAAACUUAAUAUGAUACAUGUAUAUAACAAAUACACUUAAAUCUACGUUGUUGCCACUCUUUUUUUGAGGGGUAUAUACAAAAGGUUCAUGUUCAGAUUUUUUACCUAGUUAUAUGUGUAAAUGGAUGAUUUUGUAGGAGUGCGUAUUUGUGAAAACCCUUGAUCUGAAUUUAUUUGUUCAUUUAUUUUUGUCAAUUGUGGUUGCAGAUAUCCUUCUGUUGGACGUCGCCCCUCUGACUCUGGGUAUUGAGACUGUCGGCGGAGUGAUGACAAAGUUGAUUCCGAGGAACACUGUCAUCCCGACGAAGAAAUCUCAAGUUUUCACCACUUACCAGGACCAGCAGACUACCGUUUCUAUUCAGGUGCGAACGUUAUUUCCCCUUGUUCUUAUUAGUUAUGCGCAAGAUCAAGGUCCAUUUCGACCCAGCAGGAGAUUAUGCAUAAGUGCUGUUUGAACUUGUGCGAAUACAUUUUCAUUAAAAUCUGCAAUUAGUUGCUGCUUCAUAUAGCAGAAGCAGAAACUUCAAACUUUGGAGCCCAAAAUCUCAUUUUUGCCUUUCCCACUACCACAAGAUCUCCAGCAAAACGCGUAGAACAUGUAUUAAUUCUGUUCGACUCCACAGACAUAAGCUACGAAGCAAAUUUUCGCUUUUGCCGAAUAUAUGGCUUCUGCUUCUCAAGUAGUGAAUCUCGGAUGCAAGCAUAAAUUGAAUUGACUCUUCUUAAGACCGGCGAAACUGACAGUACUUAACAUUGGUAGGUCUUUGAGGGUGAGAGAAGCAUGACAAAGGACUGUAGGCUUCUCGGCAAGUUCGAUCUCUCCGGCAUUCCGCCUGCUCCCAGGUUUGUCCGUAAUCCUUAAACAAAGCAAAAGGAAAAAAAAAGAAAAGAAAGGAAUACUAAUAAAUGCGGUUUGUUGAACAAGCAGGGGCACGCCUCAGAUCGAAGUUACCUUCGAGGUCGAUGCUAACGGCAUUCUGAAUGUGAAAGCCGAAGACAAAGGCACGGGCCGCUCCGAGAAGAUCACCAUCACCAACGAGAAGGGCCGUCUCAGCCAAGAAGAGAUCGACCGGAUGGUCCGGGAGGCCGAGGAGUUCGCCGAGGAGGACAAGAAGGUUAAGGAAAAGAUCGACGCCCGCAACCAACUGGAGACCUACGUGUACAACAUGAAGAACACCGUCAACGACAAGGACAAGCUCGCGGACAAGCUCGAGAGCGAAGAGAAGGAGAAGGUGGAGGAGGCCUUAAAGGAAGCUCUCGAGUGGCUCGACGACAACCAGAAUGCGGAGAAGGAAGAUUACGAGGAGAAGCUCAAGGAGGUGGAGGCCGUGUGUAAUCCGAUCAUCUCUGCGGUCUAUCAGAGAUCGGGCGGUGCGCCCGGCGGGACUGCCGGUGACGACGACGACGACGACAACGACGACUCACACGAUGAGCUUUAGGGGGUAAUACUUCAAUCAGAUUGAGAGAUAAAAUACUCUUAUUUAAAAAAAAAAAAAAAAAAUACUGUGUUGGAGAAAGGAGAGCUAUUGGUCAAAUUCCGCGGCCUCCUCGCGCCAGAUUUUGGGUGGAAUAUUGUUAUUUUUUACUAUUAUUUUUUUUAUCAUUAAAACUGAUUUUAAGAUCAUUUGAUGUACCCUAUUUUCUCCAGGUUUUUGGAUUUUGGUAUCACAUAGAAGUUAAUGGAUGUAGAAAAACAAUUUGAUCCUCUUGCCCUUUUUUCUUUUUUUUUUUUUUUAAACUGCUUUGUGUUGCUUUUUGUUACUCUUCUUGUACUGCUUUUCUGGGGCUGUUAGUGCUUUCGUGUUUCAGCUCAGCUGAGUGAUUUUGUGCGAUACCUAUGUUUCUUUACAUGAAUUGUGAUAUGAGGUUGCGCAUAUUGGGAUAAAAUAUAAUUUUCAUAGUCCCAUCGGAAAAUGGAGAAGUUUAUUUAUAUAACCACUUAUAAGUUGUAUGGUUGCCCGGAAAAAUAUAAAAAAUAAAGAAUAAACUUCAAAUACCGCCUUUGUGGUUUCGCACUUUCUUAUUUUAGUACUAUGUGGUUUAAAGUGUAUCAAGUUGGUGUCCCGUGAUUUCAUCAUAUAUCCCAUCUAGACUUAUCGAAUAUGGACUUUAGUAUCCUUUAGUUUUAACUUUGUCACCGCUUUAACCAAAAAAAUCACAUGCAGGAUAGUAAAUUGAUACACUUUAAACCAUAGGGUACUAAAAUGAGAAAGUGUAAAACCACGGAGGUGGUAUUUGAAAUUUUUUCAAAAAUAAAAUUUCUGAGAAAACAUUUUUUAUAAAUUUUUUUUUGUUAGUUUGUCGUUCCUCUAGUUCUAUAAAAAGAAACCGCUUUCUUAUUUUUAUUUUUCAUAUUUUAUAAAAAAAACUAGUGCUUUUAUUUUUCAGACAGAUGGAUAAAAAAGCUAAUAAAAGUGCUACUUUAAACAGCUCUAAGCCAAACACGCGCUAGUUUGAACAUGAACAUGAGACCUCAGAAACUUCACUGGAUAAUAAAGAGCCUUCCAUGGGUAAAUAAAAAAAAAAAGAAGCUAAAAUGAUAAACAAAUAAAGAUUUUCAAGAACACAGUGAGAUUAUAACCCAAAUAACAAAACCUACCAAGAGGUAGAGGAUGAGAAUUUCAUACAACUUAGUCCCCAUUACAGCAAACAACACGUCCGAGUUUUAAGCUUUAACAUCGACCAUUUCGGGUCCUCUCCUCCCUCACAUCAUCUUGUCGAUACGUUAAUACCGAUUGAGACGUAAAUAAGCUCUCUAAUAUACACGAUUAACAUGUAUAUAUAUAUGUAUAUGCUAGAUUACAAAGAAUAAACGGCGACAAGAGAAGAUGAAAAAAACAUAGCAUAGCUAAACCUCCGAAUUGAGUUUAUUUGGAAACCGGGUUUCAACAAGCGACUGCAUAAUAUUUUGUUUUUAAAGGAUUUGCCAUUCGUCAUCGCCCGUAUGCGCUUCUGCGCAAUCAGUCGAGCUUUCCACAGUAAAGGCGUCGGCUCUCCCACCGUCACCAUCGCCGACUGAACUAUCUGCGAAUGAAUCAUGGUGGAAUAUUGGUUUCGGAGGAUGAAGGGAUUGGGCGACGGUAAAGAGCGGUGCUCCAUUCGCCUUCUCUCCAAGCUCAGAAGCACGAGAGCAGAAAUCGUCGAAAUCACCUGCAUAAAGAAAUCGAGUCCACACAAAACAUCAAGUUUUUGAAACUGUAGUCUUACUUUUUUAAGUUUUCUUCUCAUUGGCUGAAACUUCUGCAAAAUUACUGUUCGCAGGCGGAAGAAGCAAUAACAGCUUCUGGAUGAAAAUACCAUUAUUUUUACCAUAGCAAAAGUGCUAGACUUUCUAUUUGCUUGCCGAACGCCAUGCUGCUGCUUUUCAUAGUAGAGCAGCAAUUCCAUCCAGGCUGAAAGGCAUUUAAGAUGACCGUAAUGAGAUUUAACACAGAAAUUUUUUGGACCUUUAUCACGGCAAUAGAACCCGAUGGCCAGUGAUGGGUCUAUUUGGUCUAGCGGCAAAUGCCGGACAGUGCUGGAGUACAAAAAGGAAACAAAUAAGUAAAUGUGAACUAAUUUUCUUUAUUAAAAAAAAAAAAAUUCAACUCGUAAUUGAGCAAUCUAAUUAUUUUUUUCCAAUGACAGAAAGAACCUGCAAUGGUAUGAAGAAGUAUCAGCUUCGAGAUUAUCCUGCUUGAUUUCUGCCGCCUGUUGCACGCAGAGUUUACAUAUCAUACGAGGAAAUAAGACACUACCAUAUAAUAUUAGCAGCUAGAAAAAUAUUUUUACUAUUAGACCAACUACGGGAAGAUGUCUUGGUUGGUCCACUUAGAACAGAUUACAAAACGAAUGCAUUUGCCAAAAGAUUACAUUCGGCGAAGUCUUCGGUUCCAUCGAGGGGGAAAAAACCAAGGACAGAGGAUUCUGAACCUUUUUGCCAGAAAUGCUCAAGAGAAAGUCUUGGAUAAAUAGAGAAGAAAUCAAGCACAAUGGUACAAAACAGUAAAACAGAAACCAAAUGAUAAAAUGAUCAAUUAAGAAGAUAACAACUCGUAGAGAUUAAUACAAGUGAACUCGGCAAACUUGUAGGGACCAGCAUAUCUUCCUUCACGAUCACAUGCAAUUAUUCAACAGGACAAAGUUCAGGCAGCCGCGUUAACAUAAGUUGUAGCAAUUACUUCUUUUUUUUUUGUAAGAAUUCAAGGCAAACAGUUCAACACAACCAAAAUCUUGCAGAAUAUAAAUGGCUACAGCUGCUUCCAUCAACUCAUCUAAUAAACAACGAAUGGAUUACUUGAACUAUAUUUGGCUAGACAAUGUCAAAUACAUGAUUAGACAAGUGAAAGCUGAAAAAAUUGAAUAGAUUUAAAUGCCCACCAGUUGAACUUCAUGUGGAUCCAGGUAGAACGCCUUGUCGUCUUGUACGCCGACAAUGCAAGUUGAAGCCCCGGGUUUUCCACCUAGUAUACCCAGACUUUGAGGAAACAUAAAUGUUUCCUUCAAUAAUGGUAUAUACCUGACAAACAAACAAUAUGUGGAGUACUGAAAACUGAAGCGACAACAGAUCCUCCAGAAAAUAUCAGAUAAAAAAUAAAGUCGCUAUUUGUCGAUCCCCCAAGGAAGAACAUGUCGUCCAAGUCUACUUUCUAGAACUCGAGUUAUGAUUAAGCAAGUGUAUAGUAUUACUAUUUGCUUACUUUUGUUUGGAAAAAUGGCUAAAUUUGAUAGCAAUAGUAAGCACAUAUGACAUAUGAUGUACUAAAGUACUACAUGAAGCAUGAAAAGAUAGAAAAAUCAAUGUAGAAUCAAGCAAACUCGCCCCCUCCCCACUUUUGGCUGCAAUAGUCGCUUCAAAUGUCAAAUUCAUAUAUUCAAAUAUUACUGUAAAGGUCAGGAUGAAAAAGACCAUCUGAAAAUAUAGUGAUUUGUGCUCCCUCUCCCCUUUGAAUUAUCAAAACCUACAUAACGACCCCUUAUUAUCGUAGAGAUUAUGCGUAAAACCCAUAAGCUUCUACAUCUAAGAAAGAUACUAUGCUCAUGCAAUGCAUAAUGAGCCAUGCAAUUUCAACAAGGCAAUCCUAAAGAAUUUGCGAGGACUGAGGAAUAAUAUAUAUUUUGUAUUUACCUUGGAUUGAUUUUUUCAAGUCCAAGAACCAGAGGAACCAACAAAAGAACGGGCCCCCAGGCAGAAUGCGCCUCGCUAAAAUCUGAACACAGUCGCGAAGCAACAUCUACACAGACGACCGGAGCUCCGCCUCGCUCCCCAUCUUCAUCCCCUGACACCACAUACAAAGCCAUAGGCAAGCUCUCUUUCCCCUGUUCUCUGUUCAAACGAUUGAGCGUCUCCCAAGUACGGCAAACAGCAUACGGACCCAACCACGACCCAGCGGACAAGCCGUAAGCCCUCCCAGCUUGUAUCAGAUUGUGUAUCGAGAAAGCACAAGUCUCAGAAUCACCAAAGAGAUGUAAAAUCUCAAUGUAUUCUCGAUCAUAUGGCUGCAUAUUAAGAGGGGACCAUCAUAAGCAACCAAACCUACAAUUGCAAAAUUAAAGAGUUCCAUCACCUUAUAUAUAUGAAAGAAAGCACAUUUUUCCUACUCGACCAUACAAAUAUUUAUCAUCAAUCUAACCUUCUGUGAAGGUUUUCUCCAGGAUCUCCCCAAAUGAUGAAAAAUCAAUCCCUGAAAAUUUUGUAAAUAAUAAGAUAAAAAAUUUAGUUUCUCUCUCAAAGCACAACCCAAAGUGAUAUUUGUAGAAAAACAGAGUAAGUACCUGGGCAACGAUCAUCUGGCUGCUUCUUAUCAUGCAGCCCCAACCUCCGUCGCUAGUCAACUUCGAAUCACCAAUGGCUUCAAAACCUGUGCAAGAAUCCAACAUUUACUGUUGUUUUAUUCCAUUUUCUUACAACAUUUCUGAAAGAGAGAGACCCAUGAAGAUACAAGUUUGUACCAAGCGCCUUUUUGGCCUAACUUAGGGAAUAACUUCUCUAUUCUAAAGCAGCUAUUGCAGGCAUGGUAAUGAAAAUCUCCGGAAAUUCUGCUGCAGCAGGAAGCUGAAAUGAGCUUUUGAACUACUAACGUGGAAGCCCCUAUAUGAAGCUUCUACGAAUGCAACACAGGGUAGAUGUUUAGUCAAAUCCAAAAUGAAGCUUCUCCUCAACAAAGCUAUUGCACACGCUCCAGCAAGACCCAAGAAGCACUAAUUUGGCUAUUUAACAAGCGGAAGAAUAUCUGAUUCAACUAAACUAACCUUUGCGGUAAGUAAACCAAAUUCUCGAUGAGAAAUCAUCCAAAAAUGCAGCAUAGCAAUUCCCUGGAUCAGCACCACCAGAUGGCUCCUCGAGUGAGACACUGUAGCACUUUCCAAGAAGCCAUAUCUCACUAGUCGAUCCCGAGCUUGAAGCUUCGGCUCUGCUUAUCCCCAGAAAGCGCAACAUUGAGCCUAACUAGUAACCUUCUUCACAAUGGCCGACCAACCAUAACUUUUUUAGACCUUGUUGCUGUCUUUUCAAAGUUAAAUGACCCACGCUAUGUGUCAAAUAUCAAAACUUUAGAUUUAAUACCAGCUGAUAAGGGAGGAAGCCCUCGACGACUUAAUGCGAUUAUCCUUCUAAGCCAAACUACGAACAAUGGUAUCUCUUUCGAACUAAAUUACCAAAAUCACCUACAGCAAAUUUCAAAUUUACAGCUCUCUCAGAGGCAAGUUCACAGUUGUUUCUGAAAAGAGAGCACAAAAGCAUAAGAAGUAGCUCACAGGUAAUUGAAAAUGUGAGCUAAUUGAAAGAUACACAUGAAUGCGAACAGUGAGACUCAAAUAAAAUACGAACGAGUUCCUGAAAUGCAAAAAGAAGAGGCAUUAGCAAUGAGUUAUUCACCAAAUAAAUGUUAACUUUUCUCAUAAUUUUUCUACAAAUUUAUCCUCCCAGAUCCAUCCACACAAUGCAACAACUCCCUUUCUUAAUGUUAAUGCUCAUAGAUGAACCAAUACUCCAAAAAAGAUGCACAAUUGAGUGAACAAAACCAGAAACAUCCACUAAAUCGUUGCAAAGACCACAAUUUUAAUGCAUAAUCUACACCUUUUUCUCCUGUCUCACUAGAUCUACAGCACCAAUCGGUGAAUUGUUCAUGAAUUCGACCUUAUGUUCCACAAUACGAUUGCUGUGAUCAAAUGCUCACAUAAUUAUCCAAAUCUCCACCAAAAAUUCCAAACAAUACAUCAAAAUUACGAGAAAGGAACGGGAAAUUUGGGGAAGUUACUGGAGGAACAAGAGGGAUUCGAUCGAGAGUACCAGGGUUGCGUCGUCGAUGGAUUUCCUUCCACGAUCAAAUUUUUGUUCCACGAUCAAAUUUUUGAACUCGCGAAUCUCGGUUUCCUUUGGAAAUGGGCGAACCUUUUUCGAACCCUAAAAAUCGGGAGAACGAAGGUGGCUACGUAGACCGCGUGUACCACGUCAUCCGCGAAACGCACGAGUACAAAAUUAGGUUACGAAGUAAAAUUGUAUGGAGACCCCUCAACUAUUAGAUUUCUGAAACAGUCCCCUUAAACUUUUCUUUUUUAAUUGAUUAUUACCUCCUAUACUUUUGAUUUUUUUUAAUAAUUUAACCAUACUUAAUAUGAUAUUAAUUACUUAUAGGAAAUAAAAUUAAAUUAGUUAACUAAUAGCAAACCACGCUACUAAAAAUUAAUAAAAUUUUCUAACUCGAAUAAUUAGAAUAACUCGAAUAAAAAAAAAUUAAAAAGUUAACGAGUUAUAUAUCAAAAAAAUUAUAGGUGAGGGGGCUCCACACAUUUAUCCCCAAACUCAACUUAGUAUGCACUAACUUUGAUAUGAACAUUUGUUCAAAUACAUAGAAAUUAAAUUUUGAAAAAUAGAAUCAAAUCACACAAAGUUUGUAAUUAUUUUAAUCAACUAUUUAUGCGCAAUUUUUUGAAUUUUCUUAAUAAUUUUUAAUCAAGUAAUACCAAUAACUCUGAUGUCACUUUUUUUUAAUGAUUAGAUAACUUUGAUAAUUUCAAAUGUUUCAAUAAAAGUUGGGACUAAUUAAUUAAUUGCAAUAACUAUAAAGUUUAUUUUAGUUUUUCUCAUUCGAAUAAUGAUAUAUAAUUAAGUCAAAUUCAAAUAGAAAAUUAAAGUCCACUCUCUCAAUUUCAACAAAUCAAAAUUUAGAUACCUAAGUAAUAGUUUACAAUAAUUUAUUUAGAAAAAAUCAUUUGACAUUUCAAUCCCUUUUUUCUAAAUAUUAAUAUUUUUUGAAAAGAAAUUUCACGCUCCUCCUUUUUGACUUGAUUCAUAAUGAGAGCACAGCACACAUUUUCGUUGAGCGCGACCGCCCAAAAAGGGGAGAUGGUAGGGAUGUCAAUGGGUAUGAAUAUUCAAAAUUUUAUCCGAACCCGAACCUGAAUGAAACGAAUAUAUCCGAUGGAUAUGAAUAUAGAUUCGGAUAUGGAUAUAAAAAAUAAAAACCCGACGGAUAUGGAUUUUGAUUGUACCCGAUCCGAAUCCGAACCCGACCCGAACCCGAAUUUAUUUUGUAUUAUAUUUAUAUAUAUAUAUAUAUAUAUAUAUAUAUAUAUAUAUAAAUUUAAUGUUAUAUUUGAAUUUGUAUUUUAAAAUUUUAGAUUUAAUAUAAUAUGUUUUGAAAUAUCGAAAGAAGAAAUAAUUGUUUCGGAUUCAAAUUUUCAGGUUUGGGUUCAGGUUCGGGUUUCGGAUUUUUGGUCGGGUUCAGAUUUGGAUAUGGAUUUUUAAAAUCCGUCGGAUUCGGGUUCGGAUUUGGGUCUCAGGUUUGGGGUCGGGCUCAGGUUCGGAUUUUUAAAAAUCCGCCCCGAAUCCGACCCGUUGACAUCUCUAGAGAUGGGAAAGCUUCUACACUUGAGCUUUUCCAGAAAGCCCUACAGUGCGGCUAGCAACGUAGGACAAAACAAGCCUCAUUAUUAUGUUAAAAGAAGUUAGGGUGAAAGUAUAUAGAGAGAUGCAUCUUGGUGUUUCGAUGGAGCCGCAUAAAUUACAUUGUAAUAAAAUUACUACAAUCUACGCAUUAUUAUACUUUUUCACUGUACGUAAUGUUUUCUCAUUGUAAUCUCAGACGAAACCUAAGCGAGUUUCUAACCACAUUUAUUGGCGGUGUUCAUGGUCCAUGAUGAACAUUUAGGUCCACUAAUACUUUUUUCUUUACCAAAAUGGGCUUGGUGCACAACCCACACUUUAGCUUCCAUUUGUGGGCCAUUGCAAAACCCUAGGCCUUAAUUGACCUUUUCAAUUUGGAUUCUGACGUCCUUGUUAGUAGGGCUGGCAAACGAGCGAGCCGGCUCGCGUUCGACUCGUGUUCGGCUCGAUAUUUGGCUCGCUCGAGCUCGACUCGAAAUUAAAUGAGCCGAGCUUGAACAAAAUAAAAGGCUCGAAAUUCAUUUCAAGCCGAGCUUGAGUAUUACUCGGCUCGUUCGAAUUAGGCUCGAAAAGCUCGAAAAGCUCGAAUAUAUAUAUAUAUAUAUACAUAUACUAUAUAUAUUAUUAUAUAAAUAUUAUAUAUAUAUAUAUUAUAUAUAUAUAUAUAGUAUAAUAUAUAUCAAUAUAUAUUGAAUGACUCAUAUGCUUUUAAAAGUACCAAGUAUUAGUGCUUGUAAAUUUUUAGCCAUUGAUUAAGAGAUAAUGCGGUUAGAUGAUGUGGGCCCCCUAUGGGUUCAGUGGGUGGUUGGUUGAAUAGUAUAAUCAAUAGUUGACAAUGAUCCGGGAUAGAUCUAAUGUAAAAAACUUAAAAGCACCAUGUUUUGUGCUUUUUACAAGCACCAUAGCCGGACUCUCAUAAUAUAUAUAUAUAUAUAUAUAUAUAUAUAUAUAUAUAUAUAUAUAUAUAUAAUUUAGGCUGAAUACUAUUAAUAGUAAAAUGCUCUUUUGCUAUCAAGUUUUUAACCCUUAAUGAAAAAUUGUAGGGUCAAGGAUAUAUUAUCGGUUAGAGUGAGUGCCCCCUAGGGUUGAGUGUCCCACUAGGUUAUAGUAUUUAAUCCAAUGGUUAGAAAUAUGAACAGAUUGAUCCAAAGGCUAAAAAACUGAUAGCAACAAUGGAUUCUGCUACUAAUAGUAGCCUAGUCCAACUCUCUCUCUCUCUCUACUAUAUAUAUAUAUAAUAUAUAGUAUUUUAAUUAUAUAUAGGUUUUAAUUUAAUUUGGCCAUUAUUGUUGUUGCAUAAAAUAAACCAACAAGUACAGUAACAUCAUGCAUUGAGUCCAACCUAAUUGUACAUAACACACUCUCUCUUUCAGACUUCACUGUUGCACAUAAUCUUAAACAUAUAACAUUAAAUUCUAAUUCCUAAUUUUUUUCCCCUCUCUCUCUCUCAUUCUCCUCAGAUCCUAACCCAGUCAGGCAGUCCCCUAGCUCAACAUUUCUUAUAAUUAUUUGUUAUUUGAACUAUUAGACAUGUUGCACAAAUUAUAGGUAAUGUUACUAAAAAAUUAAAACUAUUGAUUAUAUAAUGUCAAGAAUUUCAAUCGGCUCGUUAGAGCUCGAGCUUCGCUCGACUCGAAAUUAGGCUCGCUUGAGCUCGGCUCGAAUUAAUUUCAAGCCGAGCUUGAGCCUAGAUUUAGCCGAAAUUAAUUUCAGCCGAAUUUGAUUUGAUAUAAGCUCGCUCGAGCUCGCUCGUUUCCACCCCCUACUUGUUACCCAAUUACACACACAAUCCAAAAACGAAGAGAUGUGGCCCAUCUCACACUAUCGGCACAAUCCAAGAGCAGCCAAGCGAUGCGACGUCCACCUCCACACUAUCUAGCUGGUGAAGCCGGCUCUGAUACCAAAUGAACGACCCGACCCGACCCGACCCAACUCGCACUAAUAACUCAUGAGGUUUAAAUCAUCAGCGCAAUAUCUUAACCUCAGUUAUUAUUAUUAGAGUCUAUAAGUCUCUUAUCUAUCCCAUUAUAAUUUUAUUUCUAUCCGAUUGGGACUAUGAAUGUCACAUUCCAACAAAAAUAUCUCUAUCCCUUUCCAUACAAUGAUAUGUGAUCUCCUUUCUCCACAUUCAUGGUAAGGUAUCAACUUCUUUGUCUAUCCCAAAAGUGCGCAACACAACUAUAAAAUCAAUCCUCGAUCAUGUUGGGAGAUAUCUCAUUUUUUUAUUGCAAAAAAUUAUAAUUAAUUUAGAUAUUUAGUUAAAAGAAGUAUAGAAAUUUUGUUACAUGAACUAGUAAAAUGAGUUUACGAGCCUCAGAACCAAGUAAAAGCUCUCUCUGGUUAUACUUCUGUUGUAAUGAAAGUCGGACGGUUUACAAGAUCUAAUAAUAUUGAAUAUAAAAGGUAAAAUCCCACAUAACUUAUUUGAGUUAUCGAUCAUUUUAAUAUCGAUUAUCCAACAUUUAUUUUUGUUUGAUUUGAGUCAGUCAACGCACUUUGAUUUUUAAAGUUUAAAUAUGGUUGUUUUAUCUUUACAUGUUUAGUUAGUAUAUUUCAUAAAUUCUGUGACUAUAAAAUUCAUCAAGUAAUAAUUAGUUCAAAUUUUAAAUCACAUGAGGCCUUAACAUUAACUCAAAUAAAUAAAUUGAAAAAUGACGUAAAAUCAAAAUCUAAAAGAUUAGAUAGCUGAUUUGCAAAUAUUCAUAGUCGAUAAGUUCUGCACUACGUUUUACCAAUAUAAAAUAACUUUUAAAGUGAUAGAUUGUUUCAAAAGAGGAAUGCCCCCGUUUUAAAUCCUACUGAACUCUAGUUUUAUUAAUUUAGGUUCAUAUUUUAGACCUAUCAAAUCAUCUUCUACAUAUAAAUAGCUAAAUUUUUCGAGUAAACAGAAGUAAGUAUAAUUCAAAAGGAUUAUGCAAAUAAUGUUAUAUUCAAAUUAUAUUCAAUAAUAAAUGAAAAAAUUGUAUAUAUAUACUCCAAAAGUCCAAUAAUAAAGAUGCAUUGAGUUGUCAUAUGCCCAUAUAUGUACCCUACAAUUGCAGUCAAUUUAAAGUAGUUUCUGGUGACGACCUCCAUGUCCAUGACCCACAACUUGGCUAGAUUAUUUUCUUAAUGGAUCUAUGACCACUAAUAAUUUUUCUUUUUUUACAAAAACCAUAUACUAUUUGUAUUUUUUUGGCAAUGUUAGUAGUUGAAACAGUUCCUAAACUAAGACUUUUGUAAACACUCUGCGUUUGGAUUGACGAAUCUGUAGAUCAAUAUAUAGCCAAGUGAGUGUGUUUGAGUUUUCCUGAAGUGUGAUUAUUUUUUGUUGUUGUUUUGACGUAAUUCAUACAGUCUGAAAGUAAAUUCAAUUACUUUUCUAUUUAUUUCGAUUUAACUUGGUGCUCGUAAAAUUAAUUUUGAUUUCGUUGUUUGUUUUAUGUAAGUAAGUGGAUCCAUUAUCUCCUAAAUAUAGUAGUAAUUUACCACUAUAAAAUUUAAUCUAUUAUAUAAUUAAUUUUUUGUAUUAUUAUUUAAAAGUAAUCCUAAUUAAUAUAAAUAAGGUAAUUCUAGUCCCAUUACAAAGGAACGUAGAGUUUAGAUUUUACUGUUUAAUAAAUAUUUUAGAUGGAGGUUCGCGUAUGAUGGAAUCGAUUCUCAACUUUAGAAGGCGAAGUCGAGAGUAGGUGAAGUGGAGCUCUAAUGUAACUUGAGUUACAUUAAUAUUUUCACUUACACAAAACAAAUAACGAAAUGAUGAAACUUGAGUUCCAUCACUCCACCUUACACCAAAACAAACAGGCCCUAAAUGUUACGUCUUACGGCACAUAGUUGGUAUCCUUUAAUAUCUUCUGCGUAGUCGAAGAGUUUCAUCCUAGCAUAUUCCGCGCUAAUAGUAUUUCUCAAAACACAAAUAAUAUCUCCAUAAAAUAAAAGGUAUAGUUGCUUAUAAUAUCUAGGACUUAAUCUUAGAUCUAAUAAAUAUAAGUAUGAGAGAACACAUGUUCUAUUAUAGAAAAUAUAUGUGAUUUAUUGGCGCAUAUAGUUAGUUAACAUGCCUACGUUUAAGUGUUCAUGAAAAAGCCAAUUUGUAGUUGCACCUCAAAUUUGGCGUAAACUUUUUUUUUUUUUUUUAGAGAGAUAGUAGCACGCUACCCCGCUUCCGUUAUUUCAUUUUGAAAUAAACUUAGCUGGAAAUGUAACCAACUAGGAUUCAAUUUGGUCCUCGGUACCAACCAGAUCAAGUUCUUUACCACUUGCUCUAGAGACGGUCGUGGGCGUAAACAUGUUGGUCGAAUGAAAAAUAAAGGAUAAAAUGUUGGACUUCUAGAAAAAACUAAAUUUAUUUUGAUUUUUUAGCUAAAGAAAGUUGAUUGUACCUUACUUUUUCCCAAAAGUGAUCUUUAUUUUGUAAUAGGAUCUUCUUCAAUCGAUUUUCGUCUGCUAUGAUAAAAAGUCGUAAAAUGUGGUGACGAAUUAAUCGAACUUUUUUUUUAUUUUCUUUCCCCAUUUUAUUUACUUUCCUAUUAGGGCGAAAACGAGCGAGCCGGCUCGCGUUCGACUCGUGGUUCGCUCGAUAUUCGGCUCGCUCGAGGCUCGACUGCGAAAUAAAUGACCGAGCUUGAACAAAAUAAAAGGCUCGAAAUUCAUUUCAAGCCGAGCUUGAGUAUUACUCGCUCGUUCGAUAUUAGCUCGAAAACUCGAAGAGCUCGAAUAUAUAUAUAUCAUUAUAUAAUAUAUAUAUAUAAUAUAUAUAGUAGGGCUAUUGUGCUAUUAGAGCACAGCAAACCUUGUGCUCGUAAGUUCUUAACCGUCCAUCAAAUUGAUUGGUGUUAGGUGAAAGAGCGAAGAGAAAUUAAGACAAAUUCAAAGAGAAAACUCAAUUUCUCUUCAAUUUCUUCUUCUCUCUUUCACCCUCCGGCACCCAUCAAAUUGAUGGCGUGUUAAGAACUUAGGAGCACAAGGGCUGCUGGCUCCUAAAUAGCAAAGUACCCUACUCAUAUAAGUAGGCUAUUAUGUAUUAAAACUUAAGAGCACAAGGCUGCUUGUGCUCCUAAUAGCACAAUAGCCCUACUAUAUAUAUAUACUAAAUAUAUAUAUAAGUAAGGCUAUUCGUGCUAUUGUAGCAGCACAGCAAAACCUUGUGUUCGUAAAUUCUUAUACGUCCAUCAAAAUUUGAUCUGGUGAUGUAUGGACAAGAGAGACAGAGAAUAUUAAGAGAAAUCAAAAGAGAUAUAUAUAAUUAAUUUAUUAUUAUAUUAGCUUAAAUUUUGAAUAUUUGGGGCCAUUAUGUUGCUCAAUAAAUAAACAUCAACAAGUCAACCGUCGCAAUUGAACCCAACUCUAAAUUUACAUUAACACACAUCUCUUUCAGACUUCUACUUUUGUUAUAUAACCCUACAAAUAUGAUAACAUUCAAUUUUCAAAUAUUCCUAUUUUUUUUCUCCUCUCAUCUUCUCUCAUCUCUCUCUUGACCCUCACCCAGUCAGCAGUCACCACUAGCUCAUAAUUUCUACAAUUAUAAUUGUAUUUUGAACUACCAUUAACAUUUGCAUCAAAUUAGGUAAUGAUUUUAUAAAAUUAAAACCUAUUGACUUAUAUAAUGUCGAGAAUUUAUCCAAUCGCUCGUUUAGAGCUCGAGCUCAGUCGACCGAAAUUAGCUCCGCUAUGAGCUCGGCUCGAAUUAAUUUCAAGCCGAGCUUGAGCCUAGAUUUAGGCUCGAAAUUAAUUUCAAGCCGAAUUUGAGCCGACAUAAGCUCGCUCGAGCUCGGCUCGUUUCCACCCCUACUUCCUAGUGUGAUUUUUCUGAUGCCCCCUCUCUCAUGUCACAUUUUUAUUACCUCUGCCCCCGCAUCAACUUUUUUUCUUCUGCCCUACAACAUCAACUUUCUUCUGUCUUCCCAUCUAAUCCAGAUUUUCUCUCUGUCUAUUCUAAAACCUUACCGCAUAUUCAUACAUAACACGUUUAUUUUCCAAAAAGAAUCUUAUACAAGCAAUAUGUGUUAUCAGAAUACUAAAUCUUAUUUUUAUUAUUCAAUAAUUUGUAGACAACCAAAUAUAAGAAAUCAGAAAAGUUCAAAAUUCUAUUAACUACUUAUUAGAAAAAAUCAAACGACAAAAACGGUUGCUCAUUUUCUAAAUAACCACUUUCUCAAAAAUAGCACAUGUGAAAAGUCUCACUUUUUAAUUUCCAUUUCUUUUACAGCUAGUCAAACAUGCUCUAAAAGUCUAAGGCUUUGUUGGAAAUUCUAGACAGUAUGUUUUACUUACAGUGAAAAAAUACAACAGAAAAAACUAUAUCAUAUCAUAUCGUAUAAAUUGCAAUGAUUCAGCUAAAAAAUAAUUUCUACGACCCCAUUAAAAAAUAGUGAAUAUAUACCUUCAACACCACAAGUAAAUCUAGAAGUUCCUAACAGUUAUUUGGAUCAGUAACUUUGAAAAGAUUAGAUUGACACUUAACCUUUUGCUUUGAACCCUAAACACAAGAUAUUUUUUUGGUUGUAUCAUCAUCUUCUUGUGUCACAAUAGUAUAUGUGAUGGUAGUGCAUGUCAAGGUGUAACAAGGAAUUUCCCACUUCUCCUUGCUGAAGCUGAUAAGCACUUCCCAAUAAAUAAUUCAACUUUUGGAAGGCCCAUGAUAGCAUUGAUUGCUUUUGUUAUCUUUAUAUUUUCAACCCUCUAGAACGAAAUGGGUAUUUAUUUAUUAUUUUUGAUAGAGACAGCGCAAAUUUAUAUUAUAUUGACUAUUGUAUUGUUACUAGCCACUAGAGCAAUGAAUAAUCCUACUAGUUUUUUGAGUCCCGCUAUUAUACUCUUAUGAGUACGAUCCUCUUCGUACUCAUAAAUCGUUUUCAAUAAUAGAGCUUCCGAAUUGACGAUCCAUACUAUUAAAUUUGAUUUAGAUCAUUCUAAACUUAUAGAAAUUAAAUUUUAUAAUUUUUCGAUAUCAUUUACCUUACGAUCAAGAGAUCUUAAAAUUGAUAAUUUUUAACGGCCGGUAUAAAAUAUUUGCUAAUUUAAUGGUAUAAAAGAAUCGAAAUUGGUUGAAUUUUUGAUAGAAAAUUAUAUUCACUAUCUAAUAAAGACCAAUAACUUCUAUCUUAAAUUGAAGAAUCCGAUCAUUCAUUUUUAGGAGGUUGUUUAAUUUUGACUGUUCAUUUUAUGCCUGCUUGAUGGGCUUUAAUAUAAUUAAUUUGAAAAAUUACAAAAUUUAUUUUUUAAAAAUUUUAAAUACUCUAAAUCAUAUUUAAUGGUAUGGAUCGUCAAUUCGGAAGCUCCAUCAUAAAAAAUAACUUAUGAAUACGAAGGGGUCUAUAUUUACAAGAUACAAUAGCUCUACUCUUUUUUUUUUUCUUUUUUUCUUUUUUUUAAGGGAAAACUUCAAAAACCUCCCCUGUCGCUUCGUAGUUUCUCACUUUGUCCCCCUGUGGUUUAAAAUAUAUCAAUUUGCCCCCCUGUGAUUUUUUUUUUCUCUUUUUCUUAUCAAUUUCAGUAUUUUUUUUUCUUAAAUCAGUGAUAAAGUUAAAAUUAAAGGGUACUAAAGUGAAUAUUUGAUAAAUCUAGAUGGGUAUCUGAAGUUUUUUGUAUAUAAAAUACUGAAAUAUUAACGAACAAGCUACUGAAAAGAUAAAAACGAAACCACAGGGGGGCAAUUUGAUACAUUUUAAACCACAGGGAGGCAAAGUGAGAAACUGCGAAACCACAGGGGGGGUUUUUGAAGUUUUCCCUUUUUUUAACCUAACUUCAAUAAAAUAGCCAUGGAAACAAUUUUAAGCACCAAUGCAUUAUCAUCCAUCCAAUAGUGCAAUGGACAUUUUAAGCUUAUCCCUUUUGGCUUACUUAAAAGAAAAGGAUCUUGAUAUUCACUAGCAUUAGAGACAAAUUGAGUUUUUUUUUUCCACAUAAGAGACAAAUAAUUGCCCACUCAAGGUUCCCAUAUUUAUUUGGAGCUUUUCUAAAUGGACCAUGCAAAGGACACUAAAAGCUAAAUGCAUGUGCUUGGACCAAGUUGGUGCUUGCACAUAAUAAUUGAGUUCUUUUUUUUCUUUUUUCUUUUUUUGGUUAAAUAAUAAAAUUGGGUUUAGAUCUUGUGAUCAUGCACUAUGUGGGCAUGCAACUUUUACCUGUCAUAGGAGACAAGAAGGACACUCCCUCACCACUUAUUAUACUUGUAAAUAUUGUUAUGGUACUAUUGUGGUUGUUAAGAAUAUUAGCCCCAUAAAAUUUUUAUUUGUAUAUAAUGUGUAAGAAUUUUUCUUUUCUUUCUAACACCAAUUUAAGCUUUUGAGUCGGUUCGAGCCCUUUAACAUGCAUGGUACUUGUUAGAGCUUGGUUCAUAUAAUAUAAUUUAAUUUGAUUCUUUUAAUGUGAUUUUCGACGGCCACGUCAUUCUGACUAGAUUUUCUGAUCCUAUUUUGUCAUGCAUUUGUACGAUCAAAAUAAAAUCACGCCACUUGCCAGGGGGAUCGAUCUGGUGCGCAUAUGUCAAAAAAUCUGCCAAGAAAAUUAAACCUAAAUCGGUGAGAAGUAGCAAUCUUAAUCGAUGUAUAUAGUAAGACUUUUUAACUAUUGAGCCAUUUAAUAAUGUUAAAACUAUGCACUAGGGAAAUUUGAAAUUUUAACUUUAACCUAUAAUAAACUUAGUGGGCAUGCAAUUAGAGUGGAUUUUUUUUUUUUUUUUUUUGGAGUUUCUAAUUUGCCCUAGAUUUAAUAAUCUAUAACUCUAUAUGAAUCCCCAAUAAGAAUGAUGACAUGGCAAGCUCUUCUUUUUUUAGAUUUUUCAUAUUUUUUAAUGAUGAUUUGAAAUAUAAAUAUAUAUAUGCAUGUCACUCCAUGCAUAUAACAUAAUAAAAGUUUUUAAUGAUGGUUUGAAAUAUAAAUAUAUAUAUACAUACAUGUAACUCCAUGCAUAUAACAUAAUAAAAGUUUUAUAAAAAAAAUAAAACUAAAUGAAUCCCAAAACUACUACCUCUUCAUUUCCCAAAACUGUUUUGAAAUAUAAAUAUAUAUGCAUGUAACUCCAUGCAUAUAACAUAAUAAAAGAAAUAAAACUAAAUGAAUCCCCAAAACUACUACCUUCUCAUCUCCCAAAACUGCUCCCCUCUCACCUCCCAAAUACAAAAUAGUGGUAUGCAUGUAAUAAAAGCUAGCCAUGACCUCUUAGUUAUCAAACUCCAAAUAAAUAAUGGUAUGCAUGUAAUAAAAGCCAAAACCUGUUGGUUAUUAAAGCUUCGUUGAUAGCCUAAAGGAGGAUAGAAAGUUUUGCUUUAGAAAGUGAGUCUUUUUAUUAUUAUCAUAGCCAAUAGCAUCCCAAAAUUCCUGAACUCUUCCUAAUUUUAUUUAUUUAUAUAAAAGGAAAGAGACUGUUCUUGGUCUAAGGCCCUCUUUUAUCCUCUUUCGAGAAGACCAUAGAUGAUAUUAGGAGAUUUUUUCGAUACAGAAUGGCAAAAUGGAGUCAUCGGAUAAAACUUUCGAAUUGUCUAAUUGAAGCUGCUAAUGCAGAUUCCUCUCCUUCUAUGUCGGAUGAAUAUGUAUUAUUUCUCUCUCUCUUUUUUUUUUAUUGCAUAUUACUGUUCAUGAAUAAGUCAUUUGAGUUAAACAAAAUUGAUGGAGUAAAAUUAUAAAAAAAACUGAUUAAAUUAGUAUUUACAUCAACAAACUAACAUAAUAUAUAGAUUGUUAGCUUAUAGAUAUAUGAAAAGUGGGCUUUUACAAUUUAACGGUAGUUAAAAACUAACUAUUAUUAUUUUUAAAUUUAUUUGUAUGACUAUCAUAUAUUCCUUCAUAUUUUUUCUUUUAUUUUUUUACAUUUCGUGCUAAUUCUUUGAUGGCAUGACAAUUUGAAUGUCCAUAAACAAAUGCAAUAAUAAUUGAUUUUUAAGAAAAAUCUAAUUUGAAUUAGAAAAGAUAAUAGGAUUGAUAAAUAUCUUUAUAUGAUUAGUUAAGUGUGAAUUUGAAUCUCUUUAGUUUUUUUUUAUUAUUUAUUACCCUUCAUAAUAUUUUAAAUAUUUUUUCUGUUUCUUUUUAACGUUUUUAUUUGUUUGUUAAAUCUAUAGACUAUAAAUUUUUACUAAAAUAUUUCUACCCGCCGCAUCGCGCGGGUCCCUACGCUAGUAAUCAUGAUAAUGACAACAAUACAACUCCAUCUUAAAAAGAUGAUAUUUAAUGCAACUGUACUUGAGCACGGAUUUUAGUGAGGGAAAAUGAUACAUAAAAAUGUGAUGCCAUGUGCAUCUAAAAAUAUAUUUUAUAAUUGGCUUAAUUGCUUCAUUGAUUCCCAACUUUUUUAUCCUCUUUUAUUUUGAUCUUUUUAUUUUCUUUUUACAACCAGGUCUCCAAUCUCUUCAUUUUAUUACAAUUAGAUCACAGUCAUAAAAAGAACAAUUAAAAUUAACAAAAUACGUUAUGUCAAUACAGCAUCAGUACCAACUCUGCUCCUAUGUGGCUUUUUCAUAGACCGAUGUAAAAAAAAAAUGAAAAAGUUAAGAACUAGUUGUGUAAAUAAAAUUUUAAUUUUAAACUUAAAUAAUUUAAAAUUUAAAUGUACAUUUGAAUUUAAAGCUACAUUGCUACAAUGUACAUUCUCUCCUCCAAUUACUUUACCCUACCCUAGCAAUUUAAUUUCUCCAUCCUUGGAGUAAUUCAAGAAUAGUCAACAUGGACUUGGGGGCUCCAAGAAUAGUCAAAAGAUUAUUUUUUACAACCAUGCAUGGCCCCCUAUCAUCAAUAUCUGCAUCUAACCGACUGUCUCUAGAGCAAGUGGCCAAGGAUUCGGCGGUUGAUACCCGAGGUCCCAAAUUCAAAUUCUAAUCGAUUCACAUUUCUAGCUAAGUUUAUUUCUAAAUGAAAUAAACAAAACGGAUAGCAUGCUAUCUAUCUCUCAAAAAAAUUAAAAAAAAAAUCAAUAUCUACAUCUAGCAAACAUAAUCUAAAUAUAUGAGGAUGCAUUAAUUAUAGCUAAAAAGCAAAAUGUGCACAUAGAGAAAUACAUAUGAUUGUAUGUGUGUGGUAUCUGGCAAUCUAGUCGGGCCAAGUUACGAUCGAGAUAUGUGGCUUCUGAUUGUCAAAACUUUUGAAAUGGUAGUUAGUAAGCGUGAAAGUGGUUAGGAUAAAUUUUAAUCGAAUUCAAUACCGAAUUCAAUAGGAUGUGAAUAUGAAUGUCAAAAUUUAGCAUUCGACACAUAUUCGUAUCUAAAUUCGUAUUUGAAAAAAUUUAAAAAAUAUAUAUGACUGGGAUUAUGGUUUCUUGCAAAAUCUGACGGUAUUCGACCGUUUUCAUUCCUAAAAUAUGAAAGGAAUGAUAAUAAUAUAUAUUAUAGGGGAAUAAAAGUGAUUUAUAUUAUAUUUUUUAUUUAUUUUAAUAUGAAUAUCGACCGUCCCUAGAGUAAGUGGCAAAGAGCUUGAUGGUUGGUACCCGAGACACAAGUUCGAAUUCUAGUUGAUCACAUUUCUAGCUAAGUUUAUUUCUAAAUGAUAUAAACGAAGCGGGUAGCGUGCUAUCUAUCUUUCAAAAAAAAAAAAAAAGAACUUCAUAUUAAAAUUAUAUUUAUAUUUAUUAAAAUAUUAAAUUUUAUUAAGUAAAAUAUAGGUAUGCAAAGUUUUGAACACGGAUGUGAAUCUUCAAUUGUAUUGUAUAUUUUAUUUCCGCUAAUCUUAAUUUAUAUUUGCAUACGUGUAUUAGUAUAUAUUAUUAUUCGAAUAAUAUUCGAAUCCAUAUCCAUUUUAAACGGAUAUGAAAAUGAGAAUUUAGCAUCCGACAUAUAACCGCAUGUGAAUUCGCAUCCGACAAAAAAAUAUGGAUGCAGAUAUGGUUUUGUCAAGAAUUCAACCACGCGUUAUCACCCCAGUAGUUAACGUCAGCGAUUCAUAAGUUGGAAUUAUAAUUUUUUCACACUAUUCCAACAACUAUUACAACUCUAACCACACAUAUAAGAGUUAGAUCUAGAAUUGAAGUUCCCAAAUAUAAAAAAACAUAACUUUUAUUAUUUCUAAAAUUAAAAAUUUUCAAUCAAACACACCACUUGGAUAUAUACAGGUUAGCAAUUCAAUGCUUCUUGAGAUGUAAAAGAGACAGAAGAGAUCAUAUGUGGGACCACUGCACCCACCCCAUCUUAUCAAUGGGGCCCAUUUUGGAUUACACCUCAUCCAUACACAAUCAUGCUUUCACCCAACAAAUCUUAUCUUGUUUGCGGAGUAUGUCUUCUAUACUUUCAAAAGUAUAGAAUUUGAUAAUAGAAUAUUCGAUUUGAUCGAUCGACUCUAUUAGACAUAAUCUACGCUGUUGAAACUAUUUAGAAAUCAAAUUUCAUAAUAUUUCGAUAUCAUUUACCAUGUAAUCAAAAGAUCACAAAAUGACUAUUUUAACGAUCGAGGUGGUACGUUCUUAAGUUUCAACGGUGUAGGACAAUUCAAAUUAUAUGAAACUUUAAUAAAAAAAUUCUACUUAACAUCAAGUAGCAAGAUGAAUACUUCUGAUUUGAAAUUUGAGUAUUUUAUCACUAUUUUUUAUAAGAUUCGUAUUUUUAACUUUUCAUUUUUAGGCUACUCGUUCAUUAGGCAAAUAAAAUCAAUAAAUUACGAAAUUUGGUUUCUAGAGAACUCUAAUGGCUUUAAUUACUUUUUUAGAGAAUAAAGCUGCAAUAAAUAACUAAUAAUAGCACAGAGUACUUGUGAUUUUCUAAAAUUUUUGGUCAAGUAAAAACUACAAUUUACAUAAUUUUUUUUUUGAGUUAAUUGCACCGUAAAUCUCCCAUCUUUACCUAAUUUUUACACUUUAGUCCCAAAAUUUUUAUUUUUAAUCUUUUCUUUUUUGCAAUUAAUUCUCUUAUCUUUACUAAUAGAAAUUGUCGCUUCAGCACGAAUCAAUUAUGUCUUUUUGUUUAUAGAAAAGCUUCAAAUACCAGCCCUGUGCUUUCACACUUUCUCCUUUUAGUACCCUAUAGUUUAAAGUAUAUCAAUUUAGUAUCCUGUGGUUUCAUUUUUAUCUUUUUUUUAUCGAUUCUAUUAAUUUUUUUUGUUAAAUUAGUGACAAAGUUAAAAUUAAAUGGAACUAAAUUGAAUAUUCGAUAAACCUAGGUGUGGUUUCUAAAGUUUUUUGUAUAUAAUUUAACGAAAUAUUAACGAAGAAGCUGACGAAAAGAUAAAAAUGAAAUCAGAGAACAUUAACUUGAUACAUUUUAAACCGCAAGAUACUAAAAUGAGAAAGUACAAAAUCACAUUGGUGGUAUUUAACGUUUACCCUUCUUUUAUUAUUACUUCAGAGUUUGCUGAGAACGCAUAAGCAUUUUUGAGCAUCUUGACUCGUAUUUUGUUGUAUAUUCGAAACGUGAGGAAUAUAUUUGUACUUAUAUUUUAAAAAAUAUUAUUAAUUUCAUACAAGUCCCUACAAAUAUAGUAAAUUAUAAGUGUAUUCUUACAAAAUUUACCUCUUAUUUAUUGGUCUAUAUAAAAGUCUUAAUAUUUUCAAAUAUAUCCCUUUGGUUUGUUACCGUUAAAAUAACAUCUAUUUUAUAAGUGGAAUAAUCCUUUUGCCAUUACAUAUAUCCCUCCAAAAAUUCCAACUUUUAAUUGAAUAAGGGUAAAAAAGUGAAUUCACCUCAUUAACUAACUAGAGUUAAAUAUUUAACCUAUGGUUAACUAAAUAUUCCUAACGGAUUCUAACGGUAGGCACAUAUUUGAAAAUAUCUAAAUUUUUGCAUGAAUAACAUAUAAAAAUUAAACUUUGUAGGGAUAUAUUUGCAAUUCACUNAUAUAUAUAUAUAUAUAUAUAUAUAUAUAUAUAUAUAUAUAUAUAUAUAUAUAAAAUUUUUUCUAAAUUAACCAUUCGCAAUGUUUCCUUCAUUGUUGAAUAUGGGUUCCACGUCGAACCGUCUCAAAUCCUCCAUAUAUUUUUCUUUUUUUUUUUGCUUAGAGCGAAUCGGAUUUUUUUUCUUGAACCGAUCCGAUCAUUGUUUAGUGUGAGCUCCCCCAGACCGAUUCAAGUUUUCUAUAUAUAUAUUAUUUUCUUUACUUAAACCAAACCUGAUUUCUCUCUUUCUUUACUUCAACCGAAUCGGGUCAGCCUGUUGCAUUGAGCCGAAUCAGCCCAACUACUCUCCAUGUUUCUAUCUUUCAACUAAUUUUUUGUUUUUCUUUAUUUGAGCUGAUCACUGUUGAAUGUAAACUCUGCCUCGAACUAACUCAAAAUUUUCUUCUGUUUGCUCGAAACAACUCGAAUUUUUCUUUUUAUUUUUUUUAUUUUUUUGGCUCGAACUGAUCAGGCUCAAGUUUUCCUUCUUUUUCCUUAAAAUGAGCCGGAUUUUUUUUUUGUCUUGAAUCGAAUCGAGUCACCGCUUUGUACUAGGCGUAGUUGUUCCUCAUCUUCUUUCUUAUACUGUUAUCUUUUUUCAUCGACAAAUUAAAUUUCGUUUCUCGUCGCUUCUUCUAUUAACUUUUUUAUUAGUUUUUUAAUUAUUUAUUCGCCGUAUUGUACAGGUCAUCGAAACAGCUGAACGAUCAUCCAAAUACAGCACAAUAAUAUUUUCAAACAAUAAAUCUUAAUAAUAAUUAUCUUUUUUUAGUGUACUUUUAUUAUUUAAUAAUCUAAAAUUCGCUGUCACCAACUGUCUCUCAUUUUUCUUUUUUUCUUUUUUUAAGUAUAAAAAUGUACGAAAACAAAAACUAUUUUGGAAUAGCCUUCUUAGCCUUUUUCCUCUCGUUAUUAUUCCUCAAAAAUUUUAUAUUUUUUUAAUUUAAUCUAUAUUUUAGUUAAACAAAUUAGAAUCUAAAGGCAACUAUAAUUUCGUUAAAUUUAAUAGCUUUAAUUACAUUUUAGAUAAUAAAUCUGCAAUAAUUAAUUAAUAACAAUAUAAAUUCAGCAACCAUAAUUUCUAUACUUUUUAGUAAAAUAAAAUUAUAGUUCAUAAUAUUUUUCUGAUCUCAAAUUUUUACCUAUUUUUUACACUUUAGUUUCCAACAUUUUAAUUUUUUUGUAAUUAAUUCUGUGAUCCCACUUAAUAUAUCUGUGAUAAUUAAUUUGUUUCUAGUUUAAUUUAGCGAGAUUCAUUUGAAACAAAUUAUACAUUCAAAAAUAUGAUUGUAACAAAAAAAAAUAUAAUAUAUAUUAAAAAUUUUUAAAGUGAAAAAGUCGAUAAAGAAUAGGACCAUGAUGCAAUUAUUAUUAUUAUUAUAUUAUUAUUAUUUUUCAAUCCUUAUCCAGGUAACAUGCAAUCCAACGUAACGCCAAAACAACUAAUUUAUUACGUCCCAUCGAAUGUGUUUUGUUUUAUUUUUUUUUAUUUAAUGUUUUCAUGAGAACGUACGACUUAUAUCUUAUUUUAUAUUUUAGUACACAGGAAUAUAUUUUCUUUCACAGCUAAAGAUGCUUAUAUUAUCUUUAUGUAUAUUUUUUGGCUUAAUUGUAUACAUGUCCCCACAAAUACAGUAAAUAGCAUAUAUAUUUCGGUAAAGUUUAAUUUUUAUAAAUUAUUUUUGUAAAACUCUUAUUAUUUUCAGAUAUGUUCCUGCUGUUAGAAUCUGUUAUAAAAGUUUAGUUAACCAUAGGUUAAAUACUUUACUCUAGUUUAUUUUUGACAUUUUUAUCCCUCUUAUAUUAUACUGUUAUAAUUUUUGGAGGAACAUAUUUGCUGUGGUAAAAUUGAAAAUAUAAACAGUUUUCUAACGGUUCUCUAACGAUAAUAAAUCAGAAGGAUAAAUCUGAAAAUAUUAGAAGUUUUGUAAUAAUAAUUUAUAAAAGUUAAAUUUUAUAAGAAUAUAUUUAUAAUUUACUAUAUUUUCAGAGACCUAUAUAUAAUUAACCCUAUAUUUUUAAUAAGUAUGUAUAAAAAAAUCCCAAUUUAUAUAUUAAUUUAAGAGGGUGGGAUAUUAUUGUCACCGUCCUGCAAUAAUGCACAUAAGAAUUAGGGAUGUUAACGAGUCGAACUCAGAAUGGGUUUUCAAAAACUCGAACCCAAACCUGCUAAACCAAAUUUGAAUCCCAAACCCAAAUCCAACAGAUUUAAAUUAAAAUCCAUAUUCAAAUCCGAACCCAAAAAUUCGAACUCAAAACAAUUAUUUCUUUUUACCGUAUUUCAAAACAUAUUAUAUUAAAUCUAAAUUUUUAAAAUAUAAAUUCAAAUAUAAUUAGGAUUUGGGUCAAGUUCGGGUUCAAGUUGGGUACAGACUAAAUUCAUAUCCGAAUUCAACAUCAGUUGGGUUUUCUUUUUUUAUACCCGUAUCCAAAACUAUAUCUAUUUAGCCAGUGACGAAGUUAGGACUUGAUUACGAGAGGGCCAAAAUACAUAUAAAUUAAAAUUUUAGCAAGUAAAUAAAAUAUACCUAAUUAAAAUUUUGAUGAGAAAAUAUAUAACCUAAAUUGUUAGUGUAAAAAAAACAUUACCUUUUUUUUUAUUUAGACUUACUUAACUUUUAAUUAUUUUAUUUAUAUUAUUUCACUCAAAUAAUUUUAAAAUUUACUAAAUCUAAAAGUAAUUCAGUUAAUAAUUUAAUUUCUUAAUUUUUACUAAAUACAAUUGUGAUAAUUGAUUAUUAUUAGUUGACUAAGCUAUUAACUUUAAUAUAAUUUUUUUAAUUAAAUAAAAAUUUAUCUAAAAUAAUUAGAAAUUAUGAAAGUAUGUACUAAACAACAAAAAUUAAAAUAAAUUUAGAGUUGAGAAAGUAUUAUGUUCAUGCCGGAACUUUUUUAAAAGAUAGGUCGGUCAAAUAUACUUUAGAGAUUAAAGUAAAAUAAAUCCUUGAAAUUUUUUAUAUGAAAAGGAUAUAUGUGCAAAUUUUGAAAAUCUUGGUGGGGGAGGGCAUGGCCCCCUCAGCCCACAUAUAGCUCCGCCCCUAGCAUCAAUAUAUUCGCUCUGUUCGGUUACGUAUUCAGAUAAAAUUUCAGAUAUCCACACACGACGACGCGUACGAUCACCGGGAGGUGACGGAUUCGGGCUCUUCUCACUAUUUAUACCUAACAACCUGAUAAGCUAGGUGGAGUGUGUCACCACAACUCACAAGAGAAGUGCUAUUUUUGAGUUACUGAGAAAGGAGAGUCACAUCUUAUUAAUAUCAUCAUAUAAUUUUGGUUCUUCAUUUUCACAUAUAUUAGAGCAUGGAUCCUUACCAGGUUUGGCCUUUUACCAUUAUUAUUUUUUAAUUUUUUUUUUCAUUUUAUGUAGAAUAUAUUAUAUAUAUAUAUAUAUAUAUAUAUAUAUAUAUAUAUAUAUAUAUAUAUAUAUAUAUAUAUAUAUAUAUAUAUAUGUGUGUGUGUAGUUUAAUUAAGGAUCUUUCUUGAGUUUAAUGUUGAAGUUAUGGGGCACUAAAAAUAAGUAUAUAUUUAGUUCAUCAGUGUUUUUCAGUUUGCAGCGAUGCGAUCGUGUUCGUAGCUAUCGUUUUAAACGAACUAGAUUUGAUUUUUACAAAAGCAACUGUUUUGUAAAUGAAAUGAAAUAGUAUGAAGAUUAAACCAUGCACGCGCCGCGGAUUUAUUUAUUUUUUAAUUAGCUAAAUGAUUGAUCAACAAACUAAUUUAUUUAAUUAAGAUGUGCAUCUCUUUUGUAUUUGAAAUACUUUGUUAUUUUAGAGCGUCACACUACGUAAGUUCUCUGAAUCAAUGUUCUGCUCUGAUCGAUUUGAUCUAAAAUGUUUAGAAUAUUCAGAAAGUAAAUUAUGUAAUUUCUUAGAAUUAUUUAUUUAGUGAUGAAAAGGAUUCAAAAUUAAUUAUUAAUAUAUCGUUAAACUUGUAAUCAAUUACAUAGGCUGUUAAAAUUAUUAUUUUUGAAUCUUUUCGAUCAUUAGUUAAAUAAUAUAAAAAAAAACUAUAAAAUUUAUUUUUAUAAAUAUUUUAAAUAAUCUAAACCAUAUCUAGUGAAACUUAUCUUCAACUCAAAAUUUUCAUAAUUAAAAAUAAUUUAAAAGUACUUAAAGCAUCGUACUCUUUAAAGCACUUCAAUUAAACUAUAUAUAUAAAUACGAAUAAUUGCAUAUGUACUCCUCAAAAUUUCAAAAAUAUCUUAUUUAUUCUUACUUUUUUUUUUUCUUUUCAAUAUAUCCCUUAUAUAUUCCUCCGUUAUUCUAAAACACCGCUACAGUUACCACCAGUUAAAUUAACUUAGUUUAAACGUGAGUUAAAUAUAUGUUAAAAUUAAAAAAAAUAAAAUAUCUCUUUUGUCCUUAAUUUAAAAACAAAUAAGAAAUAUUGGUGAUGAUAGAGGGUAUAUUUGAAAAGACCAAAAGUCAAAAUACUUUUUGUAUCCCUAACUUAGGAGCAAAUAAAAAAAGUCGAUGAUGGUAGAAGGGUAUAUUUAAAAGGACAAAAUAGUAAUUUUAUACCGAUAACAGUUAUUAUUAAUAGUUUAUUAAUAUAAUUUAACUCUAAAAAUAAAUUUAAAUGUAAAAACUGUAUUUUCAAUAUUAAACUUCUAAGAUAUGUAAAUUAGAAAAUCGAAAAUUUUUCCUAAACUAUAUAUAUAUAUAUAUAUAUAUAUAUAUAUAUAUAUAUAGAGUCCGGCUAUGGUGAUUGUAAAAGUACCAAGUAUUUGGUGCUUGUAAAUUUUUUACCGUUAGAUCUAUGCCUUUGAUCAUUUUCAUCCGUUAGAUUAUACUAUUCAACCAACCACCCACUCAACCCUAGGGGGCCCACAUCAUCUUAACCGCACAUCCCUUAAUCNCCUCUUAUAUUAUACUGUUAUAAUUUUUGGAGGAACAUAUUUGCUGUGGUAAAAUUGAAAAUAUAAACAGUUUUCUAACGGUUCUCUAACGAUAAUAAAUCAGAAGGAUAAAUCUGAAAAUAUUAGAAGUUUUGUAAUAAUAAUUUAUAAAAGUUAAAUUUUAUAAGAAUAUAUUUAUAAUUUACUAUAUUUUCAGAGACCUAUAUAUAAUUAACCCUAUAUUUUUAAUAAGUAUGUAUAAAAAAAUCCCAAUUUAUAUAUUAAUUUAAGAGGGUGGGAUAUUAUUGUCACCGUCCUGCAAUAAUGCACAUAAGAAUUAGGGAUGUUAACGAGUCGAACUCAGAAUGGGUUUUCAAAAACUCGAACCCAAACCUGCUAAACCAAAUUUGAAUCCCAAACCCAAAUCCAACAGAUUUAAAUUAAAAUCCAUAUUCAAAUCCGAACCCAAAAAUUCGAACUCAAAACAAUUAUUUCUUUUUACCGUAUUUCAAAACAUAUUAUAUUAAAUCUAAAUUUUUAAAAUAUAAAUUCAAAUAUAAUUAGGAUUUGGGUCAAGUUCGGGUUCAAGUUGGGUACAGACUAAAUUCAUAUCCGAAUUCAACAUCAGUUGGGUUUUCUUUUUUUAUACCCGUAUCCAAAACUAUAUCUAUUUAGCCAGUGACGAAGUUAGGACUUGAUUACGAGAGGGCCAAAAUACAUAUAAAUUAAAAUUUUAGCAAGUAAAUAAAAUAUACCUAAUUAAAAUUUUGAUGAGAAAAUAUAUAACCUAAAUUGUUAGUGUAAAAAAAACAUUACCUUUUUUUUUAUUUAGACUUACUUAACUUUUAAUUAUUUUAUUUAUAUUAUUUCACUCAAAUAAUUUUAAAAUUUACUAAAUCUAAAAGUAAUUCAGUUAAUAAUUUAAUUUCUUAAUUUUUACUAAAUACAAUUGUGAUAAUUGAUUAUUAUUAGUUGACUAAGCUAUUAACUUUAAUAUAAUUUUUUUAAUUAAAUAAAAAUUUAUCUAAAAUAAUUAGAAAUUAUGAAAGUAUGUACUAAACAACAAAAAUUAAAAUAAAUUUAGAGUUGAGAAAGUAUUAUGUUCAUGCCGAGAACUUUUUUAAAAGAUAGGUCGGUCAAUAUACUUUAGAGAUUAAAGUAAAAAUAAAUCCUUGAAAUUUUUUAUAUGAAAAGGACUAUAGUGCAAAUUUUGAAAAAUCUUGGUGGGGGAGGGCAUGGCCCCCCUCAGCCCACAUAUAGCUCCGCCCCUAGCAUCAAAUAUAUUCGCUCUGUUCGGUUACGUAUUCAGAUAAAAUUUCAGAUAUCCACACACGACGACGCGUACGAUCACCGGGAGGUGACCGGAUUCGGGCUCUUCCACUAUUUAAUACCUAACAACCUGAUAAGCUAGGUGGAGUGUGUCACCCACAACUCACAAGAGAAGUGCAUAUUUUUGAGUUACUGAGAAAGGAGAGUCACACUCUUAUUAACUAUCAUCAUAUAAUUUUGGUUCUUCAUUUUCACAUAUAUUAGAGCAUGGAUCCUUACAAGGUUUGGCCUUUUACCCAAUUAUUAUUUUUUUAAUUUUUUUUUUCAUUUUAUGUUUAGAUAGGAUAUAUAAUUAUAUAUAUAUAUAUAUAUAUUAUAUAUAUAUAUAUAAAUAUAUUAUAUAUAUAUAUAUAUAUAUAUAUAUAUGUUGUGUGUGUGUUUAAUAAGGAUCUUUCUUGAGUUUAAUGUUGAAGUUAUGGGGCACUAAAAAUAAGUAUAUAUUUAGUUCAUCAGUGUUUUCAGUUUGCAGCGAUGCGAUCGUGUUCGUAGCUAUCGUUUUAAACGAACUAGAUUUGAUUUUUACAAAGCAACUGUUUUGUAAAUGAAAUGAAUAGUAUGAAGAUUAAACAUGCACGCCGCCGCGAUUUAUUUAUUUUUUAAUUAGCUAAAUGAUGAUCAACAAACUAAUUUAUUUAAUUAAGAUGUGCAUCUCUUUGUAUUGAAAUACUUUGUUAUUUUAGAGCGUUCACAUACGUAAGUUCUCUGAAUCAAUGUUCUGCCUGAUCGAUUUGAUCUAAAAUGUUUAGAAUAUUCAGAAAGUAAAUUAUGUAAUUUCUUAGAAUUAUUUAUUUAUGAUGAAAAGGAUUCAAAAUAUUAUUAAUAUAUCGUUAAACUUGUAAUCAAUUUACAUAGGCUGUUAAAAUUAUUAUUUUUGAAUCUUUUCGAUCAUUAGUUAAAUAAUAUAAAAAAAAACUAUAAAAUUUAUUUUUUAAAUAUUUUAAAUAAUCUAAACCUAUCUAGUGAAACUUAUCUUCAACUCAAAAUUUUCAUAAUUAAAAAUAAUUUAAAAGUACGUAAAGCAUCGUACUCUUUAAGCACUUCAAUUAAACUAUAUAUAUAUAAUACGAAAAUUGAUAUGUACUCCUCAAAAUUUCAAAAUAUCUUAUUUAUUCUUACUUUUUUUUUUUCUUUUCAAUAUAUCCCUAUAUAUUCCUCGUUAUUCUUAACACCGCUACAGUUACCACCAGUUAAUUAACUUAGUUUAAACGUGAGUUAAAUAUAUGUUAAAAUUAAAAAAAUAAAUAUCUCUUUUGUCCUUAAUUUAAAAACAAAUAAGAAAUAUUGGUGAUAUGAUAGAGGGGUAUAUUUGAAAAGACCAAAAGUCAAAAUACUUUUGUAUCCCUAACUUAGGAGCAAAUAAAAAAAGUGAUCGAUGGGUAAAGGGUAUAUUAAAAGGCAAAAUAGUAAUUUAUAUACCGAUAACAGUUAUUAUUAAUAGUUUAUAAUAUAUUUAACUCUAAAAAUAAUUUAAAUGUAAAAACUGUAUUUUCAAUAUUAAACUUCUAAGAUAUGUAAAUUAGAAAAUCGAAAAUUUUUCCUAAACUAUUUAUAAUAUAUAUUAUAUAUAUAUAUAUAUAUAUAUAUAUAUAUAAAUACGUAUACACGUGGAGACAAGAAUCCGUACAAAAAACAAUUUUGGACGUAUACGUUAAUGUUUACUGUUCACUAUUUGAGUAGCUUUCCAUGAUAAAUAAAUAAAUAAAUAAUAAAAAACAAAAAAAAUAAUAAUAUAAUAAUAUAAUAUAAUAAUAAGCAAUAAUUGAGUAGGCAUGUACAGUGUUAGGGUGGCCCAUAGGCCAUAGCUAGCAAAAGAUAAUAAUAAUAAUAAUAAUAAUAAUAAUAAUAAUAAUAAGUAGUGUUACGUAUCUUUUAAAAUAUUUUUUACGUGAAUUUAAAUACGGACAUAAAAUAUAUAAAUUUAAAUUAAUUCGUACAUAUUCUAUUAUUAAUUAAAGGGCAUGUACAACGCAUGUUACAUUUACUUUUAAAUAGUUAAUUUAAAAUAAUUCUAAAAUUUAAAAAUAUAUCGUUUUGAGAACACAAUUUUAACUAGAAAAACUAUAUGCAUAUUAUAUAUAUAUAUAUAUAUAUAUAUAUAUAUAUAUAUAAUAUAUAUAUAUAUUAUAUAUAUAUAUAUCUUUUUUCUUAAAUUCCAAAUAGAUUAUUAACACAUAGUUAUUGUAACAUAUAAAGUUUUCAAUGAUAAAUGAUAAAUUCGUAAAGAUUAAAUGGAUUCGUGGUUGUUUUUUUUUUUUUUUUUUUAUUUGGGAAAGUUUAGUUGUGGGAGCCUAAUAUUUGGAAAAUAGUAGAGAUUUUGCUGGUAAAAAAUUUUAUUUUUGUGAGUUAAUUUUUUUUUUUCCAAUCCUCCCAAAAAUUGUAAUUAGAUGCUCCUCUUAGAGGAAUAAUUUUAUUCUAUUACAUCAAUUUAAUUAUGUCAAAAAUUAAAUUAUUAUAAAAGAAAUAUUUUAUUACAAUAGUUUUUGUCGUCGUGAUAACACAAAUCAUAUUAUUUAGUUAUUUAUCACCACGAAAAUUUAUAGAAAUAAUUUACAACGAUUCUCAUUUGUUGUAAAAAAAUUAUUAUUUCAACUAAUAAUUAUCAAUUAUAACAGUAUUUAUUGAUAGAAAAGAAUAAAUCUCAACUUAAUUUAUAAGGUUAAAUGCAUAUAGGUCCCUGCAUGCAAAUAUAGUGAAUUAUAAAUAUAUUCCUCCAAAGUUCAACUUUUAAUAUUUUUAAAUAUGUCCCUCUGAUUGAUUUAUUACCGUUAAAACACUGUCUAUUUUUUAAAUAAAAUGAUCUUUUUGCAAUCACAAAUAUGUUCCUUAAAAAAUUCCUAAUUCUUAAUUAAAGAGGGAUAAAAAGGUCAAUUCACUUUAUUAACUAAUCAGGGUUAAGUAUUUAAUCUAUAGUUAACUAAAUUUUUCUAACAGAUUUUAACGGCAGAGAUAUAUUUGAAAACAUCAGGAUUUUUGGAGAGGCAACAUGUGAAAAUUGAACUUUGUAGGGAUAUAUAUUUGCAAUUCAUUAUAUUUGCAGAGACCUGCAUGCAAUUAACCCUAAUUUAUAAUUUACUUUUUUUUCUUUUUCUAAUUUCCAUUUUUUAAAUUUGUUUUUACAGUUUCGUCCCUCGAGUGCUUUUGACACGACCUACACCACCACCAACGCGGGUGGGCCCGUGUGGAAUGACAAUGAAGCCCUUACUGUGGGACCCAGAGGUGUGCUUAAUUAAAUUCCACAUUUUAUUUUAGACAAAAUGCAGAAAACUUUCGUGUAAAUACUCGUUCUUUAUUUUUUUUAUUUAUUUUUGCUAACUUUUAAAUUUUGAUAUUUUACUUUCUUAAAAUUUUAAGUCGUUGCAUAAAGCAUCAACUCCGUUACGAUUCUGUCACUAUUCAGUUCAAUUUUUAUGAUCUAUAUUAAAAAUAUUCUUAAAAAUAAUAAAAAUAUAUUAGAAAAUAAGAGUAAUUUGGUCAUUUCGUCCUUUCCAUUGACACUAUAACCUUCUGGAAAUAUUUUUGAAAUUUUAAGAGGAGAAAAUAUUAAUUUUUUAAAAGCCAAAUAGAAAAAAUAAAAAAAAUGAGUAUUUACAAGAGAAUUUUUUUGUAUUUUAGCCUGAUCUGUGCUAAUUCUUACGUUUUGAUAAUCAAAUUUCUAAAUUUUGACAUUAUUUGUUUAGCAUUCAAACGGUUUUAAAAUAAAUAAUAUCCACAGGUGUAGUUAGGAAUUGGAUUUGAUCGAAACUGCAGUCGAUUUAAGUGUAUUUGCAACUACUACAGUUGAGCCCCUUCGUACAGUUUCGACUAAAGGAGUUGAAUUCAAAUACACUGAAUCAAACGUCAUGUUUGAUUCUAUAAUAUUCAAUUAAGAUUACAAUACAGUCACAACUGCGUGCAACCAAACAACUUUUGUCUGCCGCUAAUAAGCUUAAGCAAAAAGAGAGCCAAUGAACGACGGUGUUUCUAUUUGUGUUGACGAUGGAUGAUUGGUGGGUCAGGGCCGAUCCUGUUGGAGGAUUAUCAUCUGAUCGAGAAGAUCGCACACUUCGCGCGGGAACGGAUACCGGAGAGGGUGGUGCAUGCUCGGGGGGCGAGCGCGAAGGGGUUCUUCGAGUGCACGCACGACGUCACCGGCCUCACCUGCGCCGACUUCCUCCGCGCCCCCGGUGUCCAGACUCCCGUCAUUGUCCGCUUCUCCACCGUCAUCCACGAGCGCGGCAGCCCCGAGACCAUCCGCGACCCCCGUGGUUUCGCCGUCAAGUUCUACACCCGCGAGGUAUAUAUGAUCGAUCUUUGGAGUAAUGUGGUAAUGUUAGAUGAGCUGGAGGUUCCAAUUACGGAAAAAAUUACAUAGGCGAUCCUCCCCACAGAGAGACGGUUGAUCAGACAAUCUCUUCUCCUACCAAAAUCACAGAGACACAGUUUGAUUAACCAUUCAUCACGCCCAAUGCACGAAUCUUAAAAUAAUAGUACAUGAUAGAUCAAACAAUCAUUUUUUUCGAGCGAAAAUAUACGCAGGAGACUCCUCCGCCCCUAUAGAGGGACGAUUUGAUCAACCAUCCAUCACAUCCAAUACACGGAUUUUAAAAUAAUAAUGAAUGAUUUCAUUACAUGCAAUGUACGAAUCUCAAAGCAACAAUGAAUUGUUGACCAGAUUAUCUCUCCUUUGAAUAGACAUUACAUGAAAAGAACCUCUCUAAGAAGAGAAGGUUUAAACAACCGUCAACUCUAUCGAACUUAGAAUCUUCUGCGCUGUUAAAAGAAGUUACAUCUAUUCUACCCCUCGCAGGGCAACUGGGAUUUACUGGGCAACAACUUCCCAGUAUUCUUCAUCCGCGAUGGCAUCAAAUUCCCCGACGUGAUCCACGCAUUCAAGCCAAACCCUAAAUCCCACAUCCAGGAAUACUGGCGCGUGUUCGACUUCCUCUCCCACCACCCGGAGAGCCUCCACACCUUCUGCUUCCUCUUCGACGACGUCGGCGUCCCCACCGACUACCGCCACAUGGAAGGGUUCGGCGUCAACACUUACACCUUCAUCAACCGCGCGGGGAAGGUGCGUGCAUGCACGCUGCAAAACAACCGAUUACUCUAAAAGUUUAAGCUGUUGUCAGAGGACGUACGUAUGAUGUUUUUAGUCUCUUGUAUGAAUAUAUAUAACAGGCACACUAUGUCAAGUUCCAUUGGAAGCCGACGUGCGGUGUGAAGUGCCUGAUGGAGGACGAGGCGGCGGUGGUCUGCGGGCGGAACCACAGCCAUGCGACGCAGGAUCUGUAUGACUCUAUUGCUGCAGGGAUUUACCCCGAAUGGAAGCUCUACGUUCAGGUCAGAUGAAAUUGCGAGUGUUUUUAGAUAACAUGGUAUCAGAGCUAACGUAUCUUUUCUUUUUGUUAGUACCAUAAAAUUCGUACAAUAAUGAGCGACAAGACGACCUUUCAGGGUUUGUUUUUCUAACAGAUCGAUCUUUUGGGCGGUGUAGGUCAUGGACCCGGACCACGAGGACCAGUACGACUUCGACCCGCUGGACGACACCAAGACAUGGCCCGAGGACCUGCUGCCGCUGCAGCCGGUGGGGCGGCUGGUGCUGAACCGCAACAUCGACAACUUCUUCGCCGAGAACGAGCAGCUGGCCUUCGGGCCGGGGCUCGUCGUGCCGGGCAUCUACUACUCCGACGACAAGAUGCUGCAAUGCCGGGUCUUCGCGUACGCCGACACGCAGCGGUACAGGCUGGGCCCAAACUACCUGAUGCUGCCAGUGAAUGCACCAAAGUGUGCCCUGCACAACAAUCACUAUGAUGGGCUCAUGAACUUCAUGCACAGGGAUGAAGAGGUAAAACCAUCUACUUAAAUGCCAUUAUUGUUUAUCAUUAUUAUUAAUAUAACAUGGUUUAUCCAUAAUUGUUCUUUUUUUUACUCUUUUUUUUUUAAUCUUUUGUGUUUUUUUAUAUGUAGGUGGAUUAUUUCCCUUCUAGGCAAACUCCUCUUAGACAUGCAGAGAGGUUUCCGAUCCCGACCCGGCCCGUCACCGGCCGCCGCGAGAAGGUAGUGACAUUUCUAACCUCAUAAAAUCCCACUAUCAUGUAUUCAGUAGAAGCAAAUGCAGAGUCUGCAUUACUUUGUAGCUCAUAAAAUCCCACUAACAUGCCAAAUAAUUACAAUCUUAUGAAGUUUCACUUAUAAAUUAUGAUCUUAAACAUUGAGAUCUCAUAAUCAUCUAUCUUUUUCUAUGUUACAGAUUACAAUUCACAAUUUCUAUGUUACAGAUUACAAUUCACAAGCAAAAUGACUUCAAGCAGCCGGGAGAGCGAUAUCGGUCGUGGACGCCCGACAGGUAAGCCACUUGCAAAAGAUUAAACUUUACUUGAGAAAAAGAGCACAAAAGAUUAAACUGAAUCAUUGAUUUGUCGAUCUUAACUUGUAUUCGCAGGCAAGAUCGCUUCGUCCGUCGAUGGGCAGAGGCUUUGGGCCAUCCCAAGGUCAGCCACGAGCUCCGCAGCAUCUGGAUCUCUUACCUCUCUCAGGUCAGUCCCUGUAAUUCAUGCCAUUGAUCACAAAAGCACCGAAAAAGCAAAGAGAAAAAACUUACUGAACAACAAUAGGUCGAGAAAACCACAAAAUUCAAGAACUUACACAUCAACUUGAUUCUUCCGAUGAAUCUUCGGUUUGUCAAUAAUUGUUGCAUUUGUCUGUGCAGUGCGAUACGUCGUUGGGCAUGAAGGUGGCGAAUCGCCUCAAUGUGAAACCAAGCAUGUGAUGAGAGAUGCAGCAGCUAUCAUGUAUUCAGUAGUUUUUAAGUUUCCUGCAAUGAAGAGUCUCUCCUCCUGUUGUAUUUCCAUAAUAAGACUACUUCAAUGUAGCCUCUGCUCCCUCCACUGUAUUCCUCAUCUCAUGGAAAUGGAUGUUCUCAAGUACAUAUUCUUGUGAUGAGAUAUCAAUGGAAUCUAUGGUCGUAUUCCGUCUGAUAUAUCAUCUGUUUAGUUGCAUAAAGUUUUCGGCAACAACAUAUAACCUCAAUUGAAGAGCACAAUGAGAAUGAGACAAUGUGAUUCAGUGUUGGAUUGGAAGUUCAAUUUGCAGAGUUAAAAUCAGAAAUAGAUUCAAAUAAUUCAGAUGCUAAAAAUGAGAUUAAUGCAAUUGGGAUCCUUGACAUAAAGGAAACUGAGACCAGAUCACCUUCUCACAAUGGAACUGCAAUAAUCUGCCAGAUGAGAAAGGACCAUUUGAGCUCACCUGAGAACACACAAAUGCAUCAAUCCAUUAAAAACAGCAAGAAUUCACUAAAGACUUCGGCGGAGAUUUCUAACUACAUAUGUAUAUAUACAUACAUUUACAUACGUAAAAGAGCAGUGCAGUUCACACAAACAACUUACCCCCAAUUUUUCGACUACUAAUCAAGAGAACAGACUAAAAGAGACGAAAGAAUAAAUCUCUCCCACAACAAGCGGGCGAUUAAAAUCUAUAAGCCACGAGCAUUCCCUGAGAGUCAUCAACAUAAAUUUAAUGUGCCUAAAAAUUAUUAGUUUAAUGCCCACAAUGUUUUAUUACUGAGACAAUGCCUUGGAUUAAUUUAAUCGAAUUGUGAAAUUUGGCCUUAUUAUGCCAAUUCCCUGAAGAUCAUGUUAUUCUUCCUUGGAGAAUAAGUUGCUCUCCGGUUAUUCUCGGCUUGGAGAAGCAGAAGCUGUAGCAGAAGCUGUUUUCGCAUUUUCUGCUUCAUCGCCUGCUGCUCCUGCCCCAGCCUGCUUAUCCGGAACAGCUAGUUGCAGAAUCCCAUUCUUCUCAGCCAACUGUGAAAGCCCUUUUAUUCGUUUGAAUCUUUUCUUCGAUAUUACCGCCCCACGGUGAAAAAAGUAACCAAGCAAAGAGUCAUCUCCGGGGAGCGCUUCGACCCCAGCAAGCCGUUUUGAUGCUCGGCGAGUCAUGGAAUCAGAACUUUCAGAUUUAACCCCAUCACUUGAGCCCGAUUGGUCCUCUCCUGAAAAAAGCGGCUUCUUAUCUUCUGACACAGCUGGUUUCUCUUCAGCCGGUGAGAGCACCACAUUCUCUUUCUCCUCAAAAUCAGCAUCUAGAAUUGAUGAAUUCCCCUCUUCUCCUUCAUCAUUUAUUUUUGGCUUUUCUUCAAGCUCAAGCUGCUUUUGCUUUACUGGGUCAAAUGGUAUUAUAGCUGAUUCUUCAAUUAACUUUUGACUUUCCUCAUCUUGCUUUGAUCCAUAUUCGCCGAGCUCUUUUGGUUUGUUUUGUGAGGAUUCGUUCAUUUUUGCCCUUUUCUUCUUCUUCUUCACCUUCUUCGUUAUCUUUAAGGGAUCAUCCUUCGCGCGGUCCAACAACUUCAUUUUCUUCUUUAUUUUCUUCUUUAUCUUCUCUACAAGGCUGGCAUCCAAUUGCAACCGGAGAGGAGUACUUUCUUCACCUGAAAUUCAAAUAGCUCAAAUUAGCUGAUGAUUGCACAUUAAGAUGAAAUUCACAUUUACAAAAGCAUAGAAGUCACUUUGGGUUUGGAUGCAAUCAAAAUGUGCUUAACAUGGAUCCAAAUAUUUCUUGCAUACCCUGUAAAAUAUCAUGGUGAGCCGAAAAUAAAAUCAAAAUUUGGAAAUAAAGGAGAUCGUUGGUCGACAAGUCACUUCCAGGAAAAUUUUGUAAUGAUAAGCAGAUAAGCUAUUGGAUGUCAUGCAGUAAUACUAAGACCUGAAUUUAUUAUCAAUAUACUACAAUAAUGAGCAAUGCUAUCUGAACAGCCGCUAUAUAGUUUAUUAUAUAUACGUGUCAAACAAGGGACCAAUCCAAUUCACAGGCGGAGGAAAUUUAGAAGUAGCAGCAUGGUUGACUCCAUUUCAACCAAGGACAACACCAGAAGGUUUGAUAUGCAUCUCAAAGGUCGUGGUUUUAUCGUAUCUGGUAUGAUAAAGCACCUAGUCAAGGAGCACCUGACUCCCAAGCCUGACAGACAGUUAGUCAGAUGCCUAUAUGCAACAAUAGUUUUUCCUUCUCCUGGAUUUCUUCUAGCUAAAUUAAACAUCAAUAUACGGGUCGGGCCAACUCUCUACAGCCGAAAGGGAAAUUUCGACCAGCUCGAGAUACAGGCGACUUAGAGCCCGCAUUUGGCAAUGUGGUUUAACAAUUUGCAAUAGGUGGCUUGAUAUAUCGGGGCUUUUACAUAUACAUCCCUGCAAAAUCAUCUAGUUGCACAUAUAUUCUUCUAAUCUAAAGUCUGAUAUAAACCCCUAGCACGUGUAGUUUCUUCCAAGUCAUCCAAUUCAUGGGGUGAAGUUGACUUUGCAUUAGAAGUUUUUUUUUUUUCUUAGGUGCAUUUUAGGAAGUACGAGGGUAUAUUUGUAAGAAAGUAAGUUUUUGGCGGAUAAAUAUGAAAGUUCAAAAUUCACAGUUGUCGGGGAUAUAUGUUAGUAUAAAAUCUUGAAGGGGUAUACCUCAAAUUUUCUGUAACAUAAUUGACAUAAGUGGUGCAUUUAGUUCUAAAGAAACCUGUUCAAAGGAAUAACUUCCUCAGGAGCAACAGAAGUUCUAUAGUGGAAAACAACUUUUUCAAUUUCAUUGGUAAAAAAAGUGUAAGAACUUACAAUCAUCAGGGGGUUCCUCCUUUAUCACCACUUGUCUGUUGAAGGUCGGUGCCUGUCCCGUAAAAAGGCAUUGCCUCACAUCAAUGGCUGGUGACUUCGGCUUCUCGGCUGAAGUACGACGGCACUGAUGGAAAAAACAUCAAUCAGAAACAAGACCAGGAGAUGACCAAGAUUUUCCAAGAACCAAAACUUAUGUCAUAACGAAAAUAUUUCCUGAUAGGUAUGUUUACACAUAUACCACUGGAGGGGUGGAAUAUUGCCCAUUAAAAUAUAAAUUUUCGUAUAUGCCCUUCAAAAACUUAAUUUCUUACAAAUUUACCCAUGCACCUAUAAAGAUGCUCGUCUUUGAAAGCCUUUCCUAAAGAAAAACAAUUUCCCCUAUAAACUGGACAAGUUCCCAAUUUAAGAUCAAGAUAUUUUGCAUGAAAAUCCACUUUUGGGUUUGUAUGUCUAAAAAAAAAGAUUUUAAAGAGGCUACAUGUGUAAAUUCUAAAUAGAUAAUUUUAAAGGGAUGUAAUAACUAGAAGUGGCAGAAGGUGGAAAAACCAAAAUCAUUUAGAUGCUUCAUGUUAUAGAAAAAACAAAGCAACAGUUGCAACAAGAAGUUAGGGUAAGAAAAUGAGCAUGGCAUAGAAAAAUUGUGCGAAUAAGUAUACUAGCUCAGCAAGAAAAGAAAAGGAAAACAGCUUCAACUAGCUCCAAAUAAAAGCAGUAGUUUUGAGCACCUCGUUACAAUGUACUUAAAAUUACUGGUUUAUGCAAAUGUAUUAGCUAUAUCAAAAUGAGCCGCAUAUUUAUAGGUCUGAUAAAAUUGUCUUAAUAUAGUUAACAGAAUUUAUAUUAGAGAAAUCUCAUCUAAUACAAAUAGUAGAACACAUAUGGAUGAGCACACAGGCACAUGUUGACCUAUGAGAUAACCAAAGGGGCAUUCUUUCAACAAGUAAAAUUCAAAAAAGAGAAAAGGAGAGAUUAAAUCAUACUACUUGGAAAAGACGACAAACAAAAGCAAAUCAGAUAUCGAGGAAGCAGUCUUCUUUGCACGCUAACUGACACAUGAGUUUUGGAAUUCUAGGAAAACUGUGAAGGGCAACAAAAUAAGUAUGAAUAGGUCAUAGUCUUGCAUAUAUCUCUCGAUGCUGCAUACAAUGAAGUAUGUUGAUAUGUUAAUCCCUCCAAUGUUGAAAAUUUUCUCAUACAUGAAGUUUUAGGCCAUCUUAAAGGUCGAUGUGAUUAAAUUGAAAGAUAACAAAAAUAAAUCUAAUCUCAAAACUUUCCUCUUAAUGAAAGAAAUGUCAAGUGUUAUAUCUAUACUCUAAAAUCAACCUAAAACAACUCAAAUAGGCAAACAAAGAACCAGCCUAAAGUACUAAGAGAUUCAUAUAUACAACAAACAAUCAACAGUUGCGGAAUUCUAUUUCACAGUUUCAAAAGGUUUUUCGUAGCUUCACCCAGACAAAUUUUAUCUAAGAAGCUGAUCUGGUAGCUUAUCUUUAAAUAAAAUCCACGGAAAUCUUCUAGAUAAACACAAAAGAAUACCACCAUCUAUUACAUUAACUAGUCAAGUUUCAAAUUUUUUCACAACCAGCAACUCAGGCGUCGAGUUGCAAUAUUCAAUGAAAAUAUUCUUAGAAAAAGUCAAAUGACAUAUAAAAGUAGCAAAUGGGAAACAACCCAAUUCCAGGAUUUAUGGAUUCAAAUAUUAUAUGCUUACAUGAACAAAUGAUCUACAAUAUAAAACCUUUGAUUUCUGGACACGUCACUUUAGGUAAGUACUUACAAUCCACAACAAGAUAAGAUUAAAAAAUUACUUCAGUCACGUCCACAACAAGGAAGCAAAAGAGAGAAGCAUGUGAUAGCAAAAUUUGUAUAUCCAGGAGAUUUAAUUUCAGAAUACAGAAGGCGAACAAAGCAUAUAGACACAAUUAUAUAUGGUAAUCAAAUUAGGGAAAUAUUAGAUUAGGUGAGGAAAACAAUAUAGUGCGCUAAACUUAAAAAAUCACGUCUAAGUUGUGCAUGCUGAAGAAGACAAAAAUACAAAAAACAUGCCCGGUUAAAGGCUUCUUUCUAUCUGUCCACAGCCUUGACAUGUUAAUUGUUGCAAGUUAGGUUGUACCAUUAAGGAAGAACAGUAUUCUAUUAAUUUAGAUGCAAGGUUUGCUUAUUUUAAACAACAGUAACCGUGAUCGAACUAUGUAACUAUGUUAUCGUUCUUCACCACCGAAGAGUUCUAUUUAUGUGCAAGCAUAAAAUGUCUCUCCCUUUAUUAUGCACAGCUUUCAACAGAUGAGAUAAAUUAACAGCUAGAAAGCCACAUCCUUUAAAAAUAGCAAGAAUCCUCGAAAGGAGGAUCAAAGAAAAAGAUAGACCCAGUGAUGAGAGACAAAAGAAGGAAAAGCAACCAGAUUGGUACCCGUCUAGAAGAUCCCAUGCCGACAACAUAAGUCUCAAUGAUACUUUGUCUUGGUCUAAAUGCAUGUUUGCUUAUUUCUCCAGUUUCAACAUAGCGACUAACAUCCUUUAAGGUUCGAAACACAAGUCCACUUGCUGGUUCAGUAUAAUACUGCAGAAUAAUAUUGACUAUAGUCAAUAGACAGAAAAUAAAGAUGAAACAACUAAAGAAAGGGGAUGUGCCGAAACAGGUCGCUACUAGUAUAUAUAGAAUAUCGCAAAGGAAAUGUUAAUUCAACAAAUAUGUGGAAGAAGGGGCAGAACACAGGAUAUCCUAACAUUAGCAAUAGACUAUAAUCAACUGGGAAGCAUAUGCCCAGUUGAAAGAAUAUAGAAGGGCUUCUACGAAGCAGGCAAGUGUUAGAGAUAAAGAACUAUCGGCUGGAGAAAGCUUUAUUUCCAUAAUCCCUUGGCAGCUAACUCUUUAUAAACUAUGAAAUGGCAGUGCCUAACACCAAUACAGAAAACUACUUGAUAAAACUGUAAUAGAUCCAAAGACAAAAACUGUAAAUGUAAUAUGAGACCAAAAUUACCAAAACUAUGGCAGCUGACAAGCCGCAUUACAUUUCCAAAACAGGAAAAUAUAUGUUAAUAUUUAGGGUUUAAUCUUAGAUGCCAUUAACAAGCAUUGCACAACCUUAAAACAAUAAUAGCAAAAUCAGAAGUUCGUAAUUGAAUUAAGCCAGUAUAAUUCAACUAAGAUAUUCUCUGCAUGUAGCAACAACAGCUGGGAUUCUGUAACAGAAAAGAAAUCCAAUUUGUAUGCUACCGGAUCUUUUCUGGUUCCAUGUUCGCAAGGGAAUUUUCUGAAUUUUGUUAGCUUAACCCAUCCGUUGGGCAAUCCUUCUGGGGAAUACUCAAUUUGAGCAAAGAUCUGGCAAACAAAAUCAUAAACCAAAAGUUCAUAUUCAUGCAGAAAGUAGAAGUGAAUAAUAAAUAAUAAGCAAAUGUAUCUUGAAACAGAAGAAAAAAAAAAAAAGGCUCUGAAAAGCUGCGGACAUUGUCAAUAGCAUCGGCAUUGCAAUUUCUUUCUAGAUCAGAAAUGGAAUUUGGAAGCGUCCCCUCCUCCAAGUAGCAAAGUACAUCUUCCUUGGAAAAGAAUCUGUACUCGGUCACCGGAUCGAUGUAACACUACAAAAAUAAAUUCAAGCAUCCAUUAGUUUGUAAAUACUUUGUUCCAUGCAGAACAGACUAUCCUUUCAUUCUAAUGAAGCAUAUAUUGAUUCAAGAAAACUCAUUCCAGUUUACUUUACGGACGCUAGUCAUGGAAACCCUUUAACUGUCAAAAUUGGUUAUAUAGAGAAUAUAUCAAAGGAGGGAGAAAUUGUUGGAGUUACAAUUAUGGAAGUUUAUCUCCAUCUAGUACCCAUGAAAAUUAGCAUUCACGUAGUUGAUUGUAAAAAAUAAGACAGCUGUUGUCAAAAGAGCCAUCUUUCAUACUGCUAAAGAUAGUAUCACUUGAAAAAAACAAAGAGAGAUUUUUCCUUUUUUCUUUUUAUUACUAAUUCUAGUGUUGGAGCAAAAGGAAUGAAAAGCAAAACAGGAAAAGAAAAUAACUCGUGAUUGAGCUGAGAUGGAUUUAUGAAUUUCUAGCUGUUCUAAUUUUAUUCUUCCACUACACUUAUAUGCCACUGAAGUCCAUCCUGGUUUCACUACAACAUUGAUCUAAAAUAUAUAUAUAUGAUUAUUAACUAUCAGAAGUUCCCGCAAAUAAAUUAAUGUUACUUUCCUUAUUUAUCAGUUGAACAACAGUCAACUAAGUCUUACUUCUCGCAAAUAUUUCACUCAUAACAAAAGUCAAAUUUGCUGCAUUUUUAGGACAGAAGGAUGAUCAUAUAGUCCCUACAAAGCAACAUUAUUAAUUGUCAAGCCCUAGAUUCCACUUCUUAUGUUUAUUUCCAUCCUGUCUAUUAGCUCUGUAUUUAAUUUGAUUAAUCCUCUUUCUCUUUCACCGCAGUUAGAAGAGGUAACAGCCAUAAGUGGUGAUAAUGGCAUAAGAAAAUAGGAAGAGAUUCCAAACCUCAAUCAAGUGCAAAAUGCAACAAAGUUUAUGUAAGAAUUAUGUGCUAUAAGUGUCCAAUCAUACGAAGUUUAUAAUGUAAUACUAAGUGGUGCGGCAGCUAAGCCUUCAUCCAAAAAACUGUGCUACCAAUUUCAGGAAAAGAGAAAACAUGUGCAAAUAGAAUUAUAUGUGAAAUGCCUGCACAAAGAAAUGUUAGAAUAGGGACUAUAUUAACUGCAAAAUAGGUUUAGUUUACAAAAAAGAAAUGAGCUUACAUUAGAAAGUAUCUAUUUACCUUGUAUCUUUCCUCUGCUUCUGUACCACUUCCUCUACUUCUAAUUUCCAAGAUCCAUCCAGAAGGCAGCCAUCCAAGUGAAUUGUCAGCUGACACAACAAGCUAAAUGCACAGACUAUAAGAAUUGUUUCACAAAAAAAAUAGAGAGAGAUUUUACUUGAAUUAAUAACGUACUUGCAUUUUCUCAUCUUCAGGACAUGCUCUCGUCUCCAAAGCAGCAUGAUCAACCUCCAUAAAAUUAAGGUGGUGCAGAACUUCAUUUCUUGAACAAAAUGUAGAUCCAGAGAUUGGAGAAGUAUAAUACUACAUAAUUUAAAGAGGAAAACAACCUUAGUACUGUUAUUGAGUAAUUUGCAUCACUGUAGCCAGUACUAUCUUCUUGCUCCAAGCAUAACCAGGAUUUUUUUGAAUGGUCCAGCAGAAUAAAUUUAGAAUAAAGAGUUAGCGACCGCAAGAUCAAUCUUCUACAAUUAAGAAACAAACAAGUACAGGAAGAAUCAAGUGUAGGAAAAAAAAUCAUCUAGAAGUAAAGCUAAUCUCAAGCACAAUCAUUGGAGUAUGAGUCACUAGUUAGUUCACAAUCUAUUAAUGUGUAAUAGGAAAAGCCAUGCUAGAUAUGAAACGAUGCAAAUUAAAGGCAAGAAUCUUAUCAACUUGUUUAGGUAACCAUCUUUUUUUUCUUUGUAAGAAUUUCUUAUGACUUGCAUGUUGCACACAGGCAUUUUGCACCUACAAAAGUUUAUGUUGCUAAAUUUAACUUUCCUAGUCUCCAAUAUUUCAGGUUAUGUUCGUUGAAAAUGAGUUGUAAUUUUUAUUUGUUGUACUCGUAUUUUUUUCCUUGAAUAUAUGAUUCUGCAGUUGCACUUUCAUGCCCUUAUUCGGUUGAAAAGAAAACAAGGAAACUUUGUUACUAACACACGCAUCUUCUCUUUUAGAAGUAUAUGUAAGCCAAAACACUGGCUUAAAAGCAAUUUCUGCAAGAAAUGUACUCGAUCCGUUUCUUUUAUUCGAGAGGUACCAUUUUAAUGUUUGCUCAAGUUCUUCUCAAGAAAGGAGUGACUGUAAAUCCAUGUGUUUGACACUAUCCGUAGUGCGACCAGUAGUCUUCAGAAAUAGAUAAAAAUGUAUAGAACUUACCUCAACUAUCACCCAUUUUGGUCUGUCUACCUAAUCAUUAAAAGUUUUGAUUUUACUAUCUAACCUUUUAAUUUAUUUGAUUUGAGCCAAUUAAUAACUCUUAAACUUCAAAAUUUGAAUGCGCCGUCUAUCUAUAUGUGUUUAAUUAAUAAAUUUUAUGCAAUUUAUGUAGCUAUAAAUUCAUUAAAGUAAGUAGUUAGCUUAAAUUUUGUAUUGGAAGAACCAUUAAAUGGCUUAAAUCCAAUGGAUUGAAAGGUUGGGUACUAAUAUCAAAAUUUUGAAAGGCUGGGUAGUCGAAUCACAUGGUCUAAAGUUCACAUAAGUUCUAUACAUUUUUACCUCAGAAGUAAAGUCUUGACUCUACCUUUAGGUUUACUUUGUAGAUGAAUAUAGAGAUGUGGAUGCAUUUAAAAUGUGCAUAAAUAAUGAACAAAUCCCAUUAGCUCAUAAGAUUUGUUUAAAAAAAAAAAAAAAAAACUCCAUAUGAUGAUUGUGAUAGUUGCAUGACACACAUGCCUGGAUACUAUAAGUAGCUUAAAGAAAUCAAUAUAAAACUAUCUAUUUAUCGCCAAAAUUAGCAACUUUGCUCAAGGAACCCAUACAUGGCUUGUCAAAAGUGAACAUAUAGCCCUACAAACUCGAUCACUUGAUACCAAACAAGCGAUUGCCCGAACAUUCUAAACUCAUAAAUAUUAGGCGAGAGUGAGUUGCCAAAAUGAGCUUUUCUGAUCCAAGAGAAGCUCCAACUUGAAGCUUCUUCUUCUAGAUUCUGCAAGAAGCCAUUGGGCACUUCAAUUAAAAAUAGUUGUUACUUGUUACUCUACUCAAACAACAUUUGCGCAUAAACUAUACCCGCGCCAAAUAAGCCCACAUAAUUAGAGAGUCAUUUGUUAUACAGGAAGAGCAAUAUUCUCCUCAUGAAAAUUCAUAUAUUUCCUUCUCAGACACUUGAUCCAUUAGUACUAGUAUCAUUACAACCUAAAGUAGUGAUCUUGCAAAAUAAUAAUAAUAAUAAUAAUAAUAAUAAUAAUAAUAGCAACACUAAAUUUAGAAAAAAAAAAAGGAGCUAUCCCUACUUCUCCACUGUUUCAUUAAGCACUUCGGAGCUUAAACCCUAAUCAACAUGCCUAUUUCUCUCCCACUUUUCCUAAUUAGGAAACCGAGAGGCCGCAAAACCUACUGAUCCACCCAGAAACCACCCAAAUUCGACACAUAUGUGGCGAAAAAUGAGAGCACGAGAUCAAAAACUCCACAACUUUGCAAACGAAAAUCGAUCGAUCGCACCAAAAAUCAGGGUUUUGCAGUCGGAGCCAUACAUGAUACAGGGACCCGCUCUUCCUCCCCCUCCUGACCUCCAUGAUCCACCCAUCGGGGAGCCACUCGGGGGGCUCGUAGGACAUCACCGGGGGAGGGCAAUGGGCGGCCGUCGUCGUCGUCAUCGGCGGCUAGGGUUAGGGUUCCGGCGGCGCCGCCCCUGGCGGCGGCGGAGGCGAGCUCGGACGUGGCAGAGGGAGCAGAGAAAAGAGUGCGGAGUUGUGGAGUGUUCGAAUAUGGAAAGGUUUUAAGAUUCGCUUUUUCACAGUGGAAAAAGGGGGAGAUUUUUCGCAGAUUGCUCCUCGUACUAUUGAAAAAUUCGUUCUUAGUGACCUUAAAAUGUUCAAAAAUAAAAAUUGUAAAAAUGUAUUAAAACACCUCGACUAUAUGAUAUUCUGCAAUUGGCCCACAAUAUUUUUUUAUUGACACCUCCUUCAUUUCCGUUUUUUUUAAUUUAUAUUUGUAUGUAGAUACCCAUAACAAAAUACGGUACUAAAAAGUAAACUUCCACGUGCACACAAAUAAAUAUAAACUUUUGCAAGAUUAUUUGUGCAAUUUCACAAUCUCCAAAGCCAAAGCAAAAAAUUUAUUUACCGUUUUACCAUUUCCAAAGCUCCACGUCAGCAUGCAGAGGGUUCUCUUGGCCAAAAUUUGCUAUUUUUGCCUCCAAAAGAUUAAAACUAACAAUUACACCCUCGGCUUCAUUUCGAAAUUAAUCCUGCCUAGUGUUUGAUGCUCUCCUUAAAUUCCACCUUGAAGUAGGGGUGUAAACGAGCCGAACACUAGCAAGCUGGGGUCGGCUCGGUUCGGCUCAUUUAUUAAACGAGCCGAAUACGAGCUGACUCGUUAAAGUAUCGAGCCGAAAAAUUCAGCUCGUAGCUGAACACAAUCUGGCCCACGAGCUGACCAACAAACAAUAAAUUAAAAAGAAUUAGAUUAAAUAUAUAUAAAAAGUAAAUUUAUAAAAUCUUAUUCAUUAGACUUUGAUCUAAUAGUUAAAACUUUACAUAUAAAUAGGUCUUUUUAUAAUUAAGCUCGCAUUUAUAUUUUUAUUUUACUAAAAUUUAAACAAUAAAAAUAUAUAUUAUAUAUAAUUAUUUAUUUAUAUAUAAAAAUAUAAAUUAUAUAAAAUUAUAUAAAUAUAUAAUAUAUGUAUUCGAGCUGUUAUCGAGCCGAACACAGCGAGCUGACCUCAGCUCGUGUUCGGCUCGUUUAUUAAAAUAGCUAAAAAAUUCAGCUCGUGUUCGGCUCGUUUACUAAACGAGCGAGCCGAUCUCGAGCUCAUUUCGAGCCGAACACACUGGCUCUGAACAGGGAACUGGAUUGCCACCCCUACCUUGAAGUGACUGAUGUAAUAUAUUCCUAGUUUUUUUUUUUUUUUUUUUGAUCUUUCCAUUAUUAGAUACUAAAGUGACUACAAAUUUAUACACAUAUAAUCAUCACACACAAUUACAAUAUAAAAGGGACCGAUUAAACCCCCUAGGGUUGGUAAUCCUGCAGGCUGUUCGUGAGUCAGUGUUCGCAAGUCAGUGGGCUUGAAAUAAUUCGAAUAUAUAUAUAAUAUAUUUUUUGUACUUUCGAAAGUACGAAGACGUCUGUAUUUACAAAUUAUUUUUAAUGAUAAAAUAUUCGAUUUAAUGAUCAGCUUUAUUAAGUAUAAUCUACGCUAUUACAAUUUUUUAGAAACUAAUUUUAUAAUUUUUUAAUAUUGUUUACCAAGUGAUCAAUGAGUCUCAAAAGUAAUUACCUUAAUGGCCGAUAAGACAUGUUUCUAAGUUCCACGAUAUAGAACAAUCCAAGUUAAGGUGAAAUAUUAUAAAAAAUUCUACUUAUCAUCUAGAGCAAGAUCAAUACUUCCGAUUUAAAAUUUAAGUCAUUUAUCACUAUUUUUUAUAAAAUUUUUAUUUUCAGCCGCUUAUUUUUAUACUGCUUUUCCUCUAGGCAAACAAAAUUAAAAAAUUAUAAAAUUUGAUUCUUAAAUAGUUUCAACACUGUAAACCAUGUUUAACAGAACUGAUCGCCAAAUCAGAUAUUUUAUCAUCGAAAAUAACUUACAAACACGAAAGCCUUCGUACUUUUGAAACCAUAGUAGCCAAGCGCUCUCUCUCUCUCUAUAUAUAGAGCAACAGAGAAAGAGAAUCGAGCUAGAAUACAAUUAAGUAGCAAACGGAUUCUGUUGCUACCAAUUCGUUUUCGAUGACACAGCUUCUGCAUCGACGAUAGGUACUAUUAAACAUGAUCUAUACCACUAAAAAUAUCUAAAAAUCAAAUUUUAUAUUUUUUCGAUAUUAUUCUCUUGUGCAUCAAGUAGACGCAAAAAUGAACCGCUAUAAAUAAUAUCCUUCAAAAAAUAAUGAUAGAAUUCUUACAAUCAAGAUCAAGAGUAUAGAUCAUAUUUUAAACAGGUUAAAAAAAUUUUCUAACUAAAAUUCAGUUGAUUUGGAUUUCUUUACGCCAUUAAACAAACAAAUGUCUCAUACCGACCAUCAAUAUUAUAAAUUUUGCAAUAUUUUAAUCACUAAAUCAAUUAUAUCAAAAAGACAUGAAAUUUACUGUCUAGAUACUUCAAGUAGUCUAGAUCAUGUUCAGCGAUACCGAUCAUCGAUUUGGAAGCUUCAACAUCAAAAAUAAAUUGGUAGCAACGUAGGACUACCCCCCAACUUUUGACUCGCGUUGAGUCCCUCGCCCUUUCCUGAACCCAGCUUGCUGGGCUCAGAAAGAGAUGGUCGGCAGAUCUGCCCCAUUUGCUACUAAUAGUAUUCAUACAUUUUCCGUUGGGGAUUUCUUGGAAUAAAUCCCCACAUCUUCCUUCUUAUGCGAAAUUUCCAAUCAAUCAGAAUUGAGGUUAAAAACCAUAGAAAGAGAUCUACAAUAUCUUGGAUGAUAAAAAAAAAUACUAUCACUAUCAGAUUAGCUGAUAUAUAUAAUGUUUGCUCAGAAUCAUAUCAGAUUAGAGAACAAGAGCUCUAAAGUAAGAAGAUCCUGACAAAAUUUCCAGCAGAUAUCAAGUAUCAACACAACACCAGUAAUUCUGCCACAAGAGUGAACUUGCAGACACAGAACAAAUUUAUAAAAAGGAAAAACCAAACCAGUUUCAUGAGCUAACAGAGAAGUUGUAAACGAAAAACCAACGAAUGAAAUAUGUUUAUCCAUUCAAAGAUACUAGUCCAUUCGACAAGCUCAAUAAGAGCCUCAAAAUCCAUAAUCCCCUGUCCUUUUCAUCAGAAAUAGCUAAAUCUUGCAUUACGUCGAAGUUUUGGUAGCAGAAAUCAGCAUAUGCUUCACUAUAAUGCAAGGAACGUGUAAACCGUUAAAAUUUUAAAAGCAACGAAUUUUCCCUUGACCUGUAAGAAGAGUCAUAAAUAUUCUAUAAAGGAACACUGUUAGAGGUGGCAAAAUGAUGAAAUUUUGUAGAAAUUUCAUGGGAGGCAAAGUGAAAAUCGUCACACUUCUAGUGGGGGUUCCUGCAAUCUUAGCCAAAUCAUCACAGAGGUUACGGAAUUUCAGAAGUUGGAAUCAGUUAACAUACUGAUAUCCUCAACAAAAGGAGAUACUACAUACACAUUGCUGGGCAUACCCGCAAUGUACUCUAUUCAGCACAUAUGAUAUUGUGAGAAAUGAACAAUAAACGGGCAUUACUUAAUGCCUUACGAAUGAGAUCUGGAUUAAUACCUCUCUAUCAACUGUGGGAUGGAUUUCUCCUCGGGAAGCCGCUAGAAUGCAAGUAUCAGAGGUUACAGAAGCACUCUUUGGAUCAGUCACAUUUUAAGUCGGUUCUCGACAAGCUUACUUAACUCAAAUUUCUUUACAGACCAAGCAUCUUCAGAAACUUCAGCUUCUUCGACAUCCUAAUUGGCACAACUUUCUUUCCCUAGUCUUUGGGAUCAGAUUCUCAAGUUCUUCCACAAUUCUCAACAUAAAAGGAUCGAGGGGGAGGUGUUAGAUUGAAUUAGUUUUGGUUCCAGCCAGAAGAUUGAGCUGAAUGGAACUGCCAAGAAGCAUCAGAAGAUGACGAGUAAUGAACAUGGGCAGGAGAAUCAAAGCUUUUCAAAUAGCCAGGAAAUUGCUCGAGUUCAUUUUGCGAUGAGAUUAAACCAGGAACGAAUGUUGGCGAGACCAGAAUUUGUCUUGGGGAACUAAAAGAUACGAGAGAAUCUGUGAAAGGGGUAAAGGGUUGUGGUAACAUAGAUCCUGGAGGACCGGGCCAGUCUAGUGAAGCGGGCUUUCCCUGAGAAACAGCUUCGGGGACAGGAAAACCUGGUCUCCCCGGACCCAAAUGGCUUUUGGGAGUAGAGAGAGGAAUAGUCUUAGCGAAGGAACUAAAGAACAUGGUUCCCGGAGGGCCAGGCCAAUCUACUAAACUGGGCCUUCCCUGAACAACAGCUUCUGCGACAGGCAAAGCAGGUCCUCCUAAUUCCAAAUGGCCUUUGACAGUAGUAGGGGGGAGGUGCGCUAUCCUAACAGCAAGCACCUUUCCUUCGAUCCUGUAGCCAUUCAUUCGCGCCACAGCCUUAGCAGCACAAAUAGGAUCAGCAUACUUAACAAACCCAAAUCCUCUGCUUAAACCAGUGGUUUUAUCCGUAAUCACUCUUGCAUCGGAGAUGCCACCGAACGGUAGAAAAAGUUCGAUUAGUUUAUCGGUGUUCAUGGAGUGUGGAAGGUAGCCCACGAACAAUUUGGCCUCAUCAAUUUCUUUAACAGGCAUGCGAUUGUAAUUUCCAGGUGAAGCACGCGUUCCUUUUUCCGGGCCAUCAAUCACAGGCAAAGUAGAAUUAGAGUGCGGCGAACGAUUAAAGGGGGGAAAGGAUGCAUCCCCAUUUGGAUAUCUAAUUCCAAAUCCUGGGCCAGAUGCGAUCAAUGGACAACUCACAGUAAAAUGACUCGGAUCACCACAAACAUUGCAUGAUUCACGGGACAUCUCAUUCUCAAGUUCAUAUGGAUUUUUCCCUGAAUCUCCAAGGAAGUUGAUUUGAUCAGUGCUUGUUUCAGUUCCCGAGGUGGACGCAGUCAAAGGGCAAUUGGCAGUCAAAUGACUUGAAUCACCACAAACAUCGCACAAUUCACUGAACACCUUAUCGACCUUGUGAGAUUUUUUCUUUUUCUGUGUUCCAUUCCAUUCAGCGAGUUCCCUGAGUUGGGCGGACUUAAUUUUCAGCGUUUCUUCUCUCACAGGAACCAGUAGCCUUUCGACCAUCUUAACCGCAGCAUCAAGAGACUGCUGAUUAUUGGCGUCUAUUUGCACAUAGACUUCAUCAUCCUCCCAUGGUGCGCUGCUUCCCUUCUUUGAGUCUCUUCUUCUCAUAUUAUAACCUUUACCACGGAUUAUAAUUUUGGCUCCUGUCUGUCUCUCCAUUCUCUGUAUUGUUCGACCUCCUGGACCAACUAUAAGGCCAAUAAAGUUGAAUCCUGGGUAUUUCUUAUGCGGUAUGUACAGCUUCUUGCAUAGCUUUUGAGGUUCGUAAUAGGAAAGAUGCUUGAAACUAGGGUUUUUCUUAAUCAACUCGCAAAUUAUACUUUGUCUUUGUGCUUCAAGUUUGAUGCGAAGCCUAACCUCCCUUGUGUUUUCCCUAAUACCCAAACAAUUGUAAAUAGGUGGUGGGGAUUGAGAUCUUUGAUUUUCCGGUCGGUCAUCAACCAGCUCUCGCUCUUUUAGCUUCUGAUUUAUCCUGAGAAGCUCCGAACUCAAUUUUUGGAAUUCUGGGUCUCGAAGAUUCUCAAGAACUGUAUCAUCUGCAAAAUCGGGUAACUUUAAGGGGCCCAAAGCCUUCAAUUUGGCAUCAUUGGUGGCCCAUCUCGUCUUUUUCCUCUUUUUGGCAAAUUUAGUUGUUUCUUCGUCAAAUCCUUCCUUUACAUCCCAUCCACGUCGCUUUCUCUUACCAGAGCUCCCUGUGUUCUCCUCUUUUCUUGAAUCCUCGUCCCGCUUCAUUCGCUUUUCUGAAGAUGUUUCUAGUUUAUCAGUCGACCUUCUCUUUUUCCCCGAGCUUGAAUUAGCACCUUCCAACGGCAAAUUGUCAUCAUGAUGCUUAGUCCCUUCUUCACCAGGUUCCUCCUCAAUUUCCUCAUCUGCAUCUUUCUCAUUUGACUCCUCUUCAUAAUCAGCAUAUUCCUCAUGAGGUUCGUCAUCUUCAUUAGACUCUUCUUUCCAAUCAUCUUCUUCCGAUGCGUCUCCAUCCUCACUAGCUUCCUCAUUACAAACAAUUUCAUCAUUAUUUUCCUCGAUCAGUUCUUCCUCAGAUGGAUCUUCUUCCUCCUCACUCAAGCUUGGAUCGACAGAAGUUUCCUGCCUCGUCAUACUUGUCCUUCUUCAAAAGUUUGUAGGAGAUCUACAACUGAAAUCAACCAUCAAAACACCAACCCGAAAAAGACCACAAAAAUGUUAAAGCCUGCAGAUUACAUCAGUGAAUGAAACAACAACUAAUUAAGUGAUAAAAAUCUAUUAAAUAAUCAAAGCAAAAUUUUACCCAUUCUCACACCCUCAUGUCAGAGCAAAUAUAUUUCUUUCCGUCAAUCGACCCUCUAUUCUUGAAAAAAGAUGGAGUAAAAUACUUUUACCAUCACUUUCGCAUCUCUAACUUCUCACUCAUUCUAACGCUCAUGUCAUUAUAUUUAAACCCUAAAUCCUACACCCUUGUAAAUCUUAAGAGGACAUUUUUCGGCAUAACCGUCCGAACUGUGAAAAAUUGCAUAUAUCUGCAAAUUUUUUAUACAAAUUCCACUUUUUUAGGUAUAAUUGCAUCAUUUCCAAACUUUUGCAGGAAUUCAUAUUCAAUUGUGCCUAAAUCAAACGUAAUAGAAGGCUUUUAAGACAAAAUUGCUUAAUUAUUACAAAAACUACGAAUUAUAUUAAAGAACAAUUUCAAAUCAGUAAGAGCACUAUAAAACCCACAAAAGUUAAGAGGCGAUUUUCACCAUUUUCACUACCGAUCUCCUCAAGAACCUCACUUUAACAUGCUAAUUUAGGAUCAAAACGCCACUACAUGAAUCUAUCAGAUUCCUAAAUCUAAGAUUCACGAGACAAAUUGACGUGAAAAGUAAAGGAUAAAUGCGAAAAGAUUGCAUAUUUGGCCUUCUUGAAACAAACCCAAAUCAAUAAAUCAAAAGAAACCAUGGGUUUCUUGCCCUAGAUCGAUAAUAAACACCACGAACAAGAUAAGUUACGGGAAAAUGAGAAAAAAAUGUCCUAAAAUUGCACAAAAAAUUCAUGCAAUCAUUGGAUUAAACCCUACGAAGCCCUUUAAACGAGGAUUAUAGAGAAAUUGGAGAAAAAUUCGAGGAUUGGGGUUGGAAAUAACCUCUCUUCUCAAAAGGGGGGGGGCGGGGGGGUGAGGAUCGAGAUCGGAGCCCUAAUUUCGCCUCAAAUCUCAAUCGAACGAUUUGUGCGACGGGAUUAAGGUCGACUCAGGAUCGGGAAAUUUGCGUAUUUGUCCUCGAAAUUUUACGUAAUUUGCAAAUGUUACGAAGAAAGUUAAAUGAGAAAGGAGGGAAAUGAGAAAAAAAAAAAAAAAAAAAAAAAGUGAAAUGUGUAACUCAUAACGACAUAAAAUUUAACAUAAUAAUUACAAACUGUUUAUAAUAUAAAUAUAAAUAAGUAAAUAAAAAAUAAUUUUUAUCAUAUUUUGGUGUAGAUAAAAUAGUUUUACAAAAGGAUGGAAAUGGUUGAUAUGACGGGUAAGAUAUGACGGUAGAAAUAGAGAUAAUUAUGCCGUGUGUGUGUGUAAUAUAAUAUAUAUAUAUAUAUAUAUAAUAUAUAUAUAUAUAUAUAUAUAUAUAUAUAUAUAUAUAUAUAUAGAGUGAGGCUACUAUGCUAUCGAGCCGGAGCCUUCCGUGCUUCCACCUUGUUUUCGAUGUUGCGACUUUCGAAUCGUCGAUCGGCUCCGUUAAACUUGAUCUAGAGUAUUUGGAGUACUAGAAAAUAAAUUUUAUGAUUUUUCGAUAUCAUUUGCCUAGUGAACGAAGGGCUCAAAAUCAACGGCUGAAAAUAAAAAUCUUAUAAAACGUAAUAAUAUGACAUUAAAAUUUUAAAUCAAAAAUAUUGAUCUUGUUUUAUUAGUAUAAAGAAUUUUCUAUCAAAAUUUCACGUAAUUUGAAUAUUUACACCGUUAAACUUGCAAACGGCUCACCAUGGCCAUUAAAAUUAUUAAUUUUGAGUCCCUUCGAUCACUAGGCAAAUGAUAUCGAAAAAUAAUAAAAUUUAUUUUCUAGGUACUCCAAAUACUCUAGAUCAAGUUUAACGGAGCCGAUUGACGAUUUGAAAAUCGCAACAUCGAAAACGAGAUGGAAGCACGGAAGGCUCCGUGCUUCCGAUAGCAUAGUAGCCUCACUCUCUAUAUAUAUAUAUAUAUAUAUAUAUAUAUAUAUAUAAGCACCUAUUUCAAAUUUCUAUCGGUCGCCGGACCUAUUUCAAAAUUUCUCGCAAAAAAAAUAACGUAACAAAACAAACUUUUAGUUUCUAUUUUUUCUCGAAACAUUAAUAUUUCUUAUUCAAUAUCUUUUCUUUUAAAGAUAAAUAACUAUAUAUUAUCUGCAUUCUAUCUAUUAAUAUUUUAUUGUUAUAUUCACUUUUAUUGAUUGUAAUCAAUAAUCAAAUUUAAAUUUAAUUGCAAAUAUAUAUCUAAAUUUUAAUAUUAUUUUAUUUUAAAAUUUUAUUGACCUAAAAUUUAGAGUUGAAAUUUAAUUAUAUACUGUAAAUUUCUAAAUUUUUAAAUUAAAAUUAAAUUUGAGUUUUAUUCGUGAAUUAAAUUUACUUUGGAUAUUAAAUUUGAAUUAAUAAUUAAAAUUUCUUUAUUAAAGUGAAAAAAAUAAAAUUUAGAUUUUGAGUUAAACGUGAAUUAAAAUUUUGACAUUUUUAGUUAAAAAUAUAUAUUUAAAUUUUGGAUUCAUACGAAUUCAAAAAUAUACAAAAAUAUUCAAUGCAUAUCUAUAUCUAUAUUAUAUAUGUGUAAAAUAAAAAAUACAACUAUAUAAUUAUUAUCGAUAAUAAUUAUUUAAAUUUGAGUUAGAGAUCACAGUAGAAGAUGGUUAAUUAAGACAACGGUUAAAUAGUAAAUGCAUACCAAUGUAUUAGAAAGAAAAAAUUUCUUUUUUACUCCUCAAAACGUCUGUAAGAAAAAAAGUUUUCUUUUUUCGAAAAUAAAAUUUCGGAAAAUGAAAAGAAAAGUUUUCUAUAAAAUAUGAAAAAUAAUUUUCAAAAAAAUAUAUUUUUUCUGCGAACCAGACACAAGGAAAAAAAAUUUUCAACCUAAGAUAAAUUUUAUAGGAUAUUUUUCGAGGAACCAAUCAGGUCCCCAAGCUAUUUGGAAUUGUUCCUCGGAAUAGGUUGUUACCUACAAAAUAUAUAUGCCAAUCUCUUUCUUUAUUAGCAAAAACUUUAUAAUUUUAUAUUUACAAAAUUAUUCUUGUGAUGCCGCUAAUCUUAUCAUUCCGACCCUAUCUCAGUCGAGACUCAUCUCACACACCGAUACCAACUGUGCCGUCCCAACUUUUCAGGGAUCACCUAUCCUAAGACUACUUCCGUUCUAAUAUGCUUAACUCUCUUAUCCUCUUGGACCUUGCCACUAUCCAAAAUGCUUAAGUCAGAUUAAGAAUUUAAUCCUACUAUAUCGUUCUUAUAUGUAGGACUACUUGGGAUCUCAUAAUUCUAAUAUAUGUAAAAAAAAAAUAUUACUUAUAAAUUUUUACUUCUUUCUCUCUAAAAUUUAUUUUCAAUAACACUAUAUUUAUAAGAAAAAAAAUUAGCCCCGAAGUGCAGGUGCAUUAACUAGUAUGCUCAUGAUGGUUCAAUUUUCGACCAUUCCCAUUCUUAAUUUUCCACAUUUUAUUUACUUUAUUUUAUUUUAUAUUAUCUUGCUAAAUACGCACAUUAAUUACACGUAAAAAUGUGAACUUGCUACGUAGUACGUACUAGGGCCGUUACUAUACUACAAGUUUACUAUACUACAAGUGUUCCACGUUUCCUCUCCAACCCUCUAUAAAUACGUGAAUUAUUUGCAUUACUAUUCCAACCACCACCAUAUCAUCUUCUUAGAGAGAGAGAGAGAGAGAGAGAGAGAGAGAAGGAUCAGCAAUGGCUUCGGUGUUCGAGAUCGGAAAGUUCGGUGCCCAGGUGAUCAGCGUGCCGGCGGAGAAGAAGCGCGACAAGGCGUCGUCGCCGCCUCUGCCUCCGAAGCCUGUUUUGAUCGUCUCGCCGACCGUCGCGGGUGUUUACCCGGUCGCAGUCUUCCUGCACGGCUUCAUGCUUCAAAACCAAUACUACACGCAGAUUCUGAAGCACAUCGCGUCUCACGGCUUCAUUGUUGUCGCACCGCAGGUCUGACCGUCUAUUUUUCUUACUAGUUGGACAAUCGUUUUCUGACGGUUUAAACUUUUACUGAUGUUCGUCAAAUGAUGCGAACUUCGUUGCAGCUCUACACCUUCAUCAGCACACAGUCGACGGAGGACGUGGAAUACGCUGUUUCCGUCGCCAACUGGCUGCCCGACGGGCUCCAACCUCAGCUCCCCGAUGGUGUCGAGCACGAUCUUACGAAGCUCACCCUAGCCGGACACAGCAGGGGCGGGCAUGCCGCCUUCGCCGUCGCCCUCGGCCUUGCAAAAACCCCCCUCAAAGUGAAAUUCUCAACCCUAAUCGGAGUCGACCCCGUCGCGGGAAAGAGCAAAUCGUCGCAGACGCCCCCGAAGAUCCUCACGUACGAGCCGUCCUCCUUCAACCUCGACAUCCCAGUCCUAGUCCUCGGGACCGGACUCGGAGACGAGAAGCCGAACAUGCUGAUGUGCAAGUGUGCACCGAAAGGAGUCAACCACGAAGAGUUCUAUUACGAAUGUAAGCCGCCGUGCUAUCAUGUUGUUUUGAAGGACUACGGGCAUUUGGACAUGUUGGAUGACGAUGCCCCAAAGAUUGCAAGGUACGUUUGUAAGAAUGGGAAGAAUAGCAAGGACGACAUGCGGCGGAGCACCGCAGGGCUCAUCGUCGCGUUCUUGGAGGCCUACGUCGAAGAUGAGAAAGACGACCUCGAAGCAAUACUGGAGGAUCCUCAGCUGGCGCCGGCCGUGCUCGACCCGGUCCGUCGCCGUGAAGAAUGAGAUGGAUUCUGUAUUUUAAAAGAAAUUUUCAUUUCAAUUUCAAAUUAGGGUGUGUUUGGUUUAACGUAAAACUAUGAAAAAAAAAUUUAGUAGAAAAAAAAAAUUUCGAGAGGAAAAUAAAUUUUACGUCAUCUAAUUUUUGGUUUGUAGGAAAAAAAAUAUAAUUUUCGUUACAGUUGUUUGAUUGAAAGAAAAAAAAAUAUAAAUAAAAAAUUAUUAUCUAUAUUUUUUUAUUUCAUAUAUUAUAUAUUAUUAAUAUAUAAUUAUUAUCAUAUUACAUAUAUUAGUAUUAUAAUUUAUGUUUAUAAAUAAAAUAUAUUUAAAAUAUAUUAUGCAAUAAUUAAGUAUAUAAUAUAAGAUAUAAUAGUAUAUAUUUAAUACUUUAAAAUAAAUUACUAGAUAUUUAUAAAUAAUAUUUAUAAAUAAAAUACUAUCUUUAAUAUAUGUAUAUGAGCUAGGCUGGUAUACUAUCGGUAACACGGAGGCAUCCAUGCUACCAAAUUGCUUUCAAUGAUAUGGCUUCCAAAUCGACGAUCGGCUCCAUUAAACUUGAUUUACACUAUUUAAAGUAUUUGCAAACUAAAUUUCAUAAUUUUUCGAUAUUAUUUGGCUAUUGAUUAAAAGGUCUCAAAAUUAACAAUUUUAAUGGUAGAUGUGAUGCGUUUGUGAAUUUGAUGUUUAAAAUAAUUCAAAUCUGAUAAAAUUUUUAUAGAAAAUUCUUUUCACUAUUUAGUGUAAGAUCGGUACCUCCUUAAAUUCAAAUCUUUUAUCAUCAUUUUUUAUGAGAUUUUUAUUUUCAGCUGUUAAUUACUCGUUUGAUAGGUAAAUAAUGCUGAAAAAUUAUGAAAUUUAGUUUCCAAUUACUUUCAAUAGUGUAGAUUAAGUCUAAUAGAACCGCUCGUCGAUUUGGAAGCUGCAUCAUUGAAAAUAAUUUGAUAGUACAGAGGCCUCCGUGCUACCGGUAGUAUACCAACUUAGCUUAGCUCGAGUCCGGCUGGAAUACUAUAGAUGCACCAAGGAUUUGGUGCUAUCGAGUUUUUCACCGUUAGAUUUAACCCUUUGAUUAUUUUUACCUGUUAGAUUAUACUAUUCAACCAAUCACUCACUCAACCCUAGGGGGUCCGCAUCAUCCUAACCACGCAAUUCUUAAUCCAAGGGCUAAAAAACUAAUAGCACCAAUAGUUUAGUGCUAUUGAUAGUACUCUAGCCUAGUUCUAUAUGUAUGUUAAGGGUUUUUUUUGCAAAUAGCCCCCUGAGCAAUUUUUAUUUUAAAAAUAGCCCUAUCAAAAUUAAAAUUACAAAAAUGGCCCUGUCUCUGCCACGCAGGUGCCACGUCAGCGCCACGCGAGGCAGGGCUGGGGCCAGGGUAUUAAGUUGAACACGGUAAAUCAUUCACUAUAUCUAAACACAGUGAAUGGUUCACCGUUGUUUUACGUAUUUUUUGUAUAUUGAAAAGUGGAAUAAGGAGUAGGGUGUCAAUAGGUAUGGAUAUCCGAAAAUUAUCCGAUCAAACCCAAUAAAUUUAUAUAUAAUAUUAUAUAUAUAUAUAUAUAUAUAAAAUUUAUUCGGGUUUGGAUUCGGAUAAUAUUUCGGAUAUCCAUACCUAUUGACAUCCCUACUCCUUAUUCCACUUUUCAAUAUACAAAAAAUACGUAACAAAAAAUACGUACUAAACACGGUGAACCAUUCACCGUGUUUGAAUACGGUGAAUGGUUCACCGUGUUCAACUUAACAUACGGGCCCAGCCCUGCCCACGUGGCGCUGACGUGGCGCCUGCGUGGCAGGCUCAGGGCCAUUUUUGCAAAUUAAAUUUUAACAGGGCUAUCUUUAAAAUAAAAAUUUGUCAGGGAUCUAAAUGCAAAAAAAGCCCUAUGUUAAGGAUAGUAUUUUAUUUAUAAACAUUAUUUAUAAAUAUCUAGUAAUUAUGUUAUGGUAUUAAAUAUAUACUUUUGACGGUGCUUCUUUACAUAACUCAUUUUCUUAUAAAAAAAAAAGUAUUUAGGAGUCCAAUUACUUGGUUGGCUUUGUAAACCAAUUGGAAUUUUCUUGUUCUUCCAAUGUUUCGAAUUAUCAAAUGAAUAAAGGAGUUUAAGUGCGUAAUGUGCUUAAAACCGGAGAGCUACUAAGCACUAAUUUUGCAAAAAAUAUUCAAUAUAUAUAAUAAAUUAAUAAUGGGUUCAAUCUUAAUAGGUUCAUGAACUCUUGUCCCUCCCUUAAUGAAACCAAAACAAUAUCAUGACCAGAUUAUAUUGUAUAAAAUUUAAAAUUAAAUCCUUCUCAAAAUAAGUUGAUACUAUAUAUUCACCAUCUUCUUCCAUUAAUAUGGUUUGAUUGAAAAACUUAAUUAGAACCCAAAAAUUAGUUUACAAGGUGCCGCAAGAGCCACAAGUUUACAAAACGAAGCAGCUAUAUAUACAACAUCACGUACCCACUGCAACAAUAAAAUGAAUAGGAACACCACGCAAUUUGGAGAAGAUGAUGAACAGUUUAUAAGUUGUGCUAAGUCCAGCUGUAAUAUGAAUGUCACCGACCGAACUCGGAUAAUCUGAUUUCGCCUCUCGUCUCAAGCACUCUCUCAUAUACUGUGGAACAGAUGGUAAUUCUUUACCAGAAUACACGUGAGAAAGUGGCAAAAACCGGUACCCCUUUAUAUAGAGUACAAAUUGACUUUUCAUCAAAGUCUAAUAAAAAUUUUAUUUAAUUUAAAUAGAUGUAAAAAGAAUAAGAUAUAUCAUGUCAAGUGGUUAUAUAUAUAUCAUGUCAAGUUUUAAGAUUUAGAUGCCGUAUGAACCACAAGAUUGAACAGAUCAUCUCAACGAAAUAUCUGAAGCUCAAUUAUCUAUACUACUUAUAAAAACGUGAGUUUUAAAUUUUUUUCUCUUUCCAAAAAUAUCUCUAUCUUUUCUACUAAUAUUUUUAUGUCCAGUAAUUUGCAAGUUUCAAAUAAUUUUUCAAAUAAUAAUUUAUUCUUAAAUAUAGAUCUUAAAUUUUUACCGUUGGAUCUCAUCCAAUGAUUAAAAAUUAAAGUAUCUGUCACUUUUCUUGACAAAAAUACCCUCAAUAUCCGUUAUCUCCUAUCUACGCGUUUUACAAAUAUCUACGCAUUUUCUCAAACGUAAUUUCCGUCAUAACUUAAAAUAUCCGUUAUAUCAUAUCUAUGGGUUCCUUAAAAAUUUUGUUUCUCACACACGUUUUCUCAAACACUAAUAUCCGUUAUCUCCUAUCUACGCGUUUUACAAAUAUCUAUGCAUUUUCUCAAACGUAAUUUUCGUCGUAACUUAAAAUAUCCGUUAUAUCAUAUCUACGGUUCCUUAAAAAUUUUGUUUCUCACACACGUUUUUUCAAACGCGUCAUAAAUUAAAAUAUCCGUUAUCUCCUAUUUACGUAUUUUUCAAAUAUUUUCUUUCUCACACGUAAUACUUGGGCCAAUCACGUAAAAUAUUACUAAAAAGAUUUAAUACCCACCUAAGCAAAACUAAAUUAUUAAUUAAAUAUAAUUUUAUAUUUUUAAAUUUUUUUAGUAAAAUAUUCAAAAAUAAUACCCGCCAAAAUAUCUUAUGUAUUUCUCAAAUAUAAAACAUAUCUUAAUGCACUCGCAUAUUAUAUCUACAUAUCUUUGCAUAUAAUAUCUACACUAUCCAAUUUUUAUCUCAUCUUAAUAUUUAUUCACACACAGAAUAUAUUUUUUUGAAGACAUAUUUUUUUAGUAACAUCUUUUUUUAUUUUCACCUAUAUUUUUCUCAAAUAUUUUUCAUAUGUCCACAUCGCUAGCACCAGUAUAUCGUAGCAUAUUGUUAUCGUCAACACCAACACAUUAUCACUUUCGCCACCUUCGUCAUAAUAGAGGUAUUUUGAUCUCACCUGAAAUUUUUUUAUUUUUUUAAUGUGCAUUUAUAGUAUUUUAGCAUAUUUUUUUGAUAUUUUUUUAUUUUUACAUAUACGUUUAUCAAAUAUAAAGUAUAUAUAGUGUAUAAAACAUGCAAAAAUUUUUCAAAAUAUGAGCGAUAGGAUUCAAAAUUCUUCUAAAAUUAUAUUACUAUUUUUACGAUCUUUUUCAAAUCAAUAUAUAUAUAUAUAUAUAUAUAUAUAUUUUUUUUUUUUUUUUUUGAGGGUGUAAAAAAUAUUAAAAUUUUGUCAAAUUAAGUUCAAUUAAUUUGAACAUUAAUUGGAGAAUAGUAGUAUAGUUAGUUCUAAUUUCAAUUUCAUUAAUAAUUUUAAAUAAAUAUAUAUUUUAGAAAAAAAUUAUUUGAUAUUUUUAAAUAAGUUUACGUUCAUUGCACGUGAAUAUGACUUUUAAUAAAUAUCUGAAGCUCAAUUAUUUAGUACUUGCAACAACUGGGUACAACACGUGUUACAUCCUUUUAGGAUUUUUAUGUCCUUAAUUAAUUAAUUAAUUAGCAUACUAAAAACUUUAUAUUUAGCAUUACAAGCUUGUUUUUUUUAUUUUAUUUAAUGAACUUAUUAACAUCACAUAAUAGAAUUUAAUACCUUAUUAAAAGCUUAAUUAGGUAGCACUAAAUUUAUUUUUAAAAAUAAAGGCUAAAAUAAAAACUCAGGAAAAAUCAACAAACGCUAGUACAAUAGAAACUUAUAAGAAAUUUAAGAAAAGUUUCAAAUUACGAUUCCACAAAAUGCAUGCAUAUUAUUCUUCUCUCUCUCUCUCUUCUUCUCUCUCUCUCUCUCUCUCUCUAUAUAUAUAUAUAUAUAUAUAUAUAUAUAUAUAUAUAUAUAUUCUAUAAUUUAUGUAAAAUCACAAAAAAUAAAUAAAUAAAUAAAAAGGAGAAAACUUAUUAUUCCUUAAAAGUGAUUAUUGUUGCAUUCCCGAAUAGACCCCUCACAUUAAAUUUUUUUUUUUAUGGACACUCUUAAAACAUUUUUUUUCAUUUGACGUGGUGGUAGGAAUGUCAAUGGAUAUGAAUAUCCGAAAUUUUAUCCAAAAUCGAAUCCGAACGGGAUGGAAUUACCCGAGUUAAACGGUUAUGGAUUCGGUUAUGGAUAUAGAAAAUAAAAACCUUAUGAAUAUGGAUACGGGUAUGGAUUUUGUAUUUAACCGAUCCGAACCGGAACCCAAACCCGAAGCCGAACACGAAUAAAUUAUAUAAAUGCAUAAUUUAUUUUUCUUUAUUUAUAUAAUAUAUAAAAUAUUUAAUAAUUUUUUAUCUUUAGAUCUUCAUCCAACAGUAUGGAUUUUUAAAACCCGCCGAAGUCGGGUCCGGAUUCAGGUUUCGAGUUUUUGGUCAGGUACGGAUAUGGGUAUGGAUUUUUAAAACCCGCCGGGUUCGGGUCCGGAUUCGAAUUUUAAUUUGGUUUUCGGGUUCGGGUUCGGAUUUUUAAAAACCCGACCCAAAUCCGACCUGUUGACAUCCUACGUGGUGGGUGAGUGGAAAGGGGUUUUUUUUUUUUGGAAAAUUUAUGAGAGGAUUUAUUUUAUUUUAAAAUAAUUAUAAUAAUAAUAAUAAUAAUAAUAAUAAAGAUUGUGGGCCCCAUGUAAGGAGAUAUGAUAGGAUUAGUACAUGUUUUUUGGAUAAACUUCAAAUAUCAUAUCUGUGGUUUCGCACUUUCUCACUUUAGUGCCCUGUAGUUUAAAGUGUAUCAAGUUAGUGUCAUAUGAUUUUAUUUUUAUCUUUUCGUCAGCUUUUUCGUUAAUAUUUCAUAAAUUAUAUAUAAAAAAUUUCAGAUACCCCACCUUGGUUUAUCGAAUAUUCACUUUAGUAACCUUUAAUUUUAACUUUGUCAUUGAUUUAACGAAAAAAAUUAGUAAAAUCGAUAAUAAAAAGAUAAAAAUAAAAUCAUAUGGCACUAAAUUGAUACACUUUAAAUCGCAUAGUAUUAAAGUGAGAAAGUAUGAAACCACAAGACGAUAUUUAAAUUUUUUUCUAUUUUUUUAAAUUGUGGACCCCACGCUUCU
rnacentral:lncRNA from 1 species